rnacentral:lncRNA from 1 species
GUCAACACCAUAGUUAUGUAAAACACACCAAAGCUGGCAUAGAAACUGUCCAUGUCUAUGAAGCCACCAUCUCCAUUGAAAUCGUUAGGCACUCUUGCGGAUGGUGAUUCUGUUUUGUCGCAACUGUUUUGCAAUGGAGGUCCACAAAGAAGAGGAUUCCCUUUAUAACUGCUCUCAUCAAAGGUACCAAAUUGAUUUUUCAUCUCCAGUGUUCUUCCUGACAAAUUAUUGUACGACACGUUGAAAACUUCUAGAAAGGUCAGUUCAACGAGUUGUUCUGGAAUUCUCCCAUUCAAGGUGUUGUGAGAAAGAUCCAAGCUCUCUAUCUGCUUCAGAUUGGAGAAAGAUGGAGGGAUCAAUCCAGUGAGAUUAUUUCGCGACAGAUUUAGAGAGUAUAUCCCACUUAAGUUUCCCCAUUCUGUCGGGAUUUCUCCAGUGAAUCUGUUACAAGAAAGGUCCAUAACAGACAUGUAACGAAGGAUAUCGCCUUCGUAAGAGUAGAAAUUUUUCUUUGUUGUAAGCUCUACAGAUAUUUUUACACUGAUCUCUGGCCACAAAAUUUUGCCAUAAAGAUAAAAACCUUCGUGCUCCAAUUCUCUUUCCCCCAUGGAUGCAAAUAUUUCUUUCCGGCUUCCAUCAUCUUGUGAGUACGUACUAGUGACAACCCAAGUUUUUUCAUAUGAUGCCGUAAAAUCUAAAUUGCUCAAACAUGAGGGUAACAGACUAGAAAAAUUAUUUUCUGAAAGAUCCAAUAUGCUUAAUUUCCUUAACAAGCAUAAUUGAACAGGAAGUUCCCCAUUGAAUUGAUUAGAUUUCAAAAGAAGAAAACUCAAUUCCGAAAGUCUAUCAAUCCAAUUUGGAAUUGGCCCAGUUAAGUUGUUAUAGCCGAGAUCUAAUGUCACCAAAGAAGAGAUGUUAUAAAAAGCAUUUGGCAGUGGACCGGUCAAUCGAUUUCCGUAUAGGUGGACAUAGCGUAAAUGCGGUGCAUAAAAGCCCAACGGCAAAGACCCAGACAAAUUGUUUUCAGAAAGAUCUAAAAAUUCAAGCCUAGAAGGAUUGAAAUAUUCUUUUGGAAUGGUACCUUCAAACUGAUUUCUGGACAAAUCAAUUGCCUGAAAGGGGUAUAUUGAAGAGUUCCCAAUUCCCCUUGGAAGCAUGCCUGACAAAAGAUUGUUACUUAUAUCAAACCACAAAAAUGAUGAUGCAAGAGAAAAGGUACCAGAUACUUGUCCUGCAAAUUUGUUUCCGUCGAGAAAGAGGUACUCUAGGUGAGUCAUGUUGAACAAAGAGAGUGGUAAUCGCCCUUUGAAAUUGUUAUUGGACAGCUUUAAGGACCACAACGAGGAGCCUACUGCUGGAAAAUUAUGCUUAAGCAGUUCACAAGACAUCUGAUUGUUGGAAAGAUCAAAGUAUUCGAGAGAGCUCAUAUUCCCAAAACAAGGAGGAAUACAACCUGUGAGGCUGUUGUUAGCCAUCAUGAAGUUUUUCAAACGUGGAAAAAUCGAACAUAUGUUGCUUGCAAUUUGACCAUGUAUGUUGUUGCCAGACAUAUCUACUGUCUGAAGGUUGGGUGUUGGAUGUUGUGGCAGCUGCAAAAGACUUGUAAAUGAGGUGUCUCUCAAAUAUAGCCGAUUUAACUUUCUAUUAUUCUCAAACAGCCAAGAUGGGAAAGGUUCUCCAACGAAUUUGUUGUGGGAUAGAUCAAGAAACACCAAAUCAUGUUGGCUAUGCAGGAAGUUUGGAAAUCCAGCUCUGAGUGGUUUUGAAGUACAGUUUGAAGCACUGAAGUAACGAAGCUGGAACUUGGGAGCUGAAGGCUGAAAACUGGGUGCAGCUAUCAGCUCAUUGUUAUCGCAUGCAAUGAACUUGAGGUUGGAGAGGUUCAUAAAUGAACCAAAUGUUAUUGGAACUUGAAAGUAGUUACUUGAAACUGAGAGGUAUUCAAGCUGCGUAAGAUGGGAAAGGUGACUAGAGGCAAUAUUUCCCUCCAAUUGGUUGUCAGAUACAUCCAAGAUUUGUAGAGAUGAUAGAUUUCCAAAACAAGGAGGGAGUACGCCCUUUAGAUAGUUUCUUGAGAGAUAUAGCUUUUCAAGAUUCUUCGGUUCACACCAGCCUGCAGAAUAUAUCAAUAUGUUCAUAUAUCAAUUAUGUAAUUGCUUGGUGAGGUUUUAAAGUUUUAGUUGAUUCUUGUUUCAUUACCUAGGUCGGUUUUAGAUUAUAUUUAAACAACUUUGUUUGUUAGUUUUUUAAAAGAUUAAUUAUCUAUAUUAUUGAUAUUCAUAAUUUUUUUAAUUCAAAGUUUUUUCUAUAAUUUAAGACAGAGAAAUUUUAGAGAUUCAGAAACUCUAGAUUUUAUCCUUUUCUAUACAUAACAUUAUGAGUAAAUUUCUAGUUUAAUAAAACAUAGAUAUAACAAAAUAUCUAAUGAACAACUGUUAUUUGGAUUUCAAUACUCUUAUAAUUGUUCAUUUGUAGAAUUACCAUCCCAAUAUCCAUAUAAAUUCAAUGAAAUAUAAAUUUGUGUGUUAAUUUUUUGAUAUUAUAUCAAUAUUUUAAUAACCAAAUAUUCAUGAAUUCUAACAUAUCACAUAUAAAUUCUAACUAGUUGAUCCUUUAAUAAAAUUUUAAAAAUUGAACAAAAGUUAAUGGUUAAUACACAUCUAUUUAUUAGACAAAUUCACUAAAGAAUAAAUUAAGCCUCACUAAGGAAUGUCAUCCAAGGAAGGAAUGAUUUACAACUUUACCAUUGAGACCAGUUGAUCCUGUGAACAUAUUGUCUGAUAGAUCUAGAGAUUUGAGAGUUGAAAAUCCAUUGAGAGAUGAUAAAAUGCUGUCGUUAAAUUUAUUGUUACUUAGAUAAAGUUCCUCCAAAUUCCUCAACCCUGAAGCUAGGACUUGAAAACCUGAAAGAAAAUUGUCGGAAGCAAAGAAAUUAACAGAUAUAUAUAUCAACCAUCCCAAUAUCCAUAUAAAUUAAAUGAAAUAUAAAUUUGUGUGUUAAUUUUUUGACAUUAUAUCAAUAUUUUAAUAACCAAAUAUUCAUGAAUUCUAACAUAUCACCUCCAUUCUUUUAAUAAAAUUUUAAAAAUUGAACAAAAGUUAAUGGUUAAUACACAUCUAUUUAUUAGACAAGUUCACUCAAGAAUAAAUUAAACCUCACUAGGGAACGUCAUUUGAGGUAGGAAUGAUUUACAACUUUACCAUUGAAACCAGUUGAUUCUGUGAAUCUAUUGUUUGAUAAAUCUAGAGAUUUGAGAGUUGAAAAUCCACUGAGAGAUGAUAAAACACUGUUGUUCAAUUUAUUGUCACUUAGAUAAAGUUCCUCCAAUUUCCUCAACCCUAAAGCUAGGACUUGAAAACCUGAAAGAAGAUUGUCAGAAGCAAAGACAAUUAAAAGAUUUAUAUAUCAACCAUUUCAAUAUCCAUAAAGAUUCAAUGUAAAGUUACUUGAAACAUAACUAACUUUAUGUGUUAACUAAAAAAAAAUUGAAAGCAUAGAACCUUGGUUCUUUAAGCCACCAACUAAUUGGUUGCCGCUUAAGUCGAGAAUCUCCAGUUCUUUGAAAGGCAGAAACAAAGGUGCAUUGAGAUCCAAGUCUUCGACUGCAUCAUAAUUUACAUAUGAAAGAUGUAGUUCGAUCACUCGGUUUGUGGUGUUGUCACACACAACCCUAUAAUAAUCCCAGUUACAGCAAUUAAAGUGCUCUUUAUCCCAACGUUCUAGCGGAUCAUAGGACCCAGCUGCACGUGCAUGAUAGAACCAAGCUUUUAUCUCUAAGAGACUAACUCUCUCUUCCUCCACACAACAAUGGCUCCGGUCGUUGAGGAAGGCCAGUGCCAUGAGCAGCAUCCACACCCACAUUUGCCUCAUCUUCAUAUUAACGCUCCUACUUGACAAAAUACAAAAGCAAGCAAGCUGUCUCUUAUAUACAAAUUAAUUUGUCCUCUUCAUUUGAUCGGACUUAAUUAUCUGUAUCAUUGAAUUUUCUAUGCUGAAUUAAUUAUCCAAGGGAGACUUGGGCUGAAUUGAAUGGGAGAAUCUUCACGGACAGAUCCAGGGGCCCGCACCACGGCACAGAUCGCUCGGUUUGUGGUGUUGGAUUAAAGGAUAUUAAUUCCAACUUCUUGUUUACUGCUUUACUUUUCUUCAUAGACUUGGGAAGUCAGGUGCUGUAUAUGAACAAUUGAUUUGAUCUUAUGAAAUACACGGCAGAAGAGAUUAGAAAAUGACUUCUAUUAUCAAUAAUUUCUUCUUACUGCACCUACUGAUUUUUAUUUCUUUUGAAAUAUUUAGAAUAUCUCUUUUGAAAUAUCAAUAUCGCCUACCCCACUUCCUUCAUUUUUGUUAACGGAGUGAAAUGAUUUCAACACGUGUCCAUGCAUCUGCCAGCUACCCUAAUUAAUCUGCACUAACAGUGACCAUAACAGCUGUAACAAUACUCCCUCAAUACUUGUAACAUCAUCCUAAUAUAUAUAUAAUAGAUUGGAAGCAUGCAUGGGUUUCUUACAUGAUUAACUAAACUUAAUCUUGUAAUAUUGAAUUAUUUGAUGAAAACAUUAUCUAAAACAAGAUUAAUUGAUAUAUUUAAAGUCAAAUAAAAAACAAACCCUGCUUAUUUUUAAUAUUAAAAAUUAUUUCUAACAUAAAUUUUUAACAUAAUAAUUUAUCAAAAUUAAAAUAAAUUAGAAUCACCGUUUGAGCAAUUGAUUUGAUCUUGGGCCCACAAUUAUUUUCAUUAGCCUGUUAAUAUUUUUCUUCAAGCUUGUGGAACAGGUUGUUCCUUUAGGCUACUUUGCUUCUUCUUUUUUUUCUUCUUAGACUUGGGAAGUUAUUUGUUUGAACAUUUAAUUUAAGUUUUUAUGGUUGUUUGUUUUUGUGUUUUAAAAGUAUUUUUAAAUAAAUUUUAAAUUUUUUAAUUUUUUUAUUAACUUCAAAUUAAUAUAUUUUUAGUGUUUUCAAAUCAUUUUGAUAUGCUAAUGUCAAAAAUAAUUUUUAAAAAAUAAAAAAAUAUUAUUAAUAUAUAUUUUAACAUAAAAAAUUAUUUAAAAAACAAUAAUAUAAUCUCAUCAUCCAAUAUCGCUUGUUUUUAUUCUUCGUAGACAUGUGAAGUAAAGAUUCCCAAUUAUCCACUGCAUCAAUCUCUAUCCCAUCAAAAUGAAUUUGGUGCAAGAAAAAAAUAUCUAAUAUAUGUGAUUUACUCAUUAUGCAUAUUUAAGAUUGCUAAAGGAAAAUAUUUAGUUUAAUUUCACAUAUAAGCUAAUUCGAUAACACUUUUUAAUAUAAAACCAAAAAAAAAAAGAGUGCUAUCGUCAUCAACUUUAUUUGGUUUCAAUUUAUGACGUUUGACAUAUAAAUUCUGUUCAAUUUAAAUCAACUUUUCAAUAAAUAGUGAAUGUUAAUGAGCACAGUAGCGAGAACUAAGCAGUGUUAUGUGUACUUGGAACCAAGGUUGUUAAAAUCGUGUUUUGACUCGUAAAAUCGUACGAUUUUACGAGUCAAAACAUGUAUUACGGGUUGAAUCGCUUGAAAAAAUCAAAAAUAGCUAAAAUCGGGUUGAAAUCGAGUGAAAUCGCGAUUUCAGGACCGAUUUUGCGAUUUUGACAAAAUAAGGCCCUGAAACAAAAUCCUCCCUCCUGGAUAGCUGUCAUGCCUAUUGGAUUAUUCCUGCACAGUCUUACUCAUACACAACGUUUCAUGUCUUCCUUAGCUCUCGUGUCUAGCGUGAAUAGGAAGGUCCCCGUGUUGGUCAAGCAGGAAUGUCUGGAACUAGUUGCUAUGUGUAAUAAAAAAAACUUUGGCAGGAUAUGAACAGAAUGAAGAAUUACAAAGAUGAAAUCUCUCUCUCUCUCUCUCCCCUUCCUUCUUCUUAUCUCUUUCACCAUUCAUGCUGCAACCCUCCUGUUGAUUUCUGGAAAUGGUUCAGAACCAUUCCAUCGCAUUCAAUUCCCCUGGAUAUAUUUCUGGAAAUGUAAUUUUUAAUCUAUUAAUUUUUUUUAUAAAACAUAUUAACCGAAUAUUAUUUCAAUUUCACUCGAGUUUUAUGGUAGAAACUGGUGAAGUGUGUGUAUAACACCUGACAAUAUUUUAAGAUGCUUGAACUAUAUAUGAAUUUUUAUUUGAAGGCUUGAAAUAUGUAUGAAAUUUUAUUUGAAACAUGUUUUUUAAUGUGCUUGAACUAUGUAUGAAUUUUUAUUUGAAACAUGAAUUUUUUUUAAUGUAUUUCAAAAUUCCUUACGAUUUUACGAGCCGUUUUUACAAUCCGAUUUUGUGAAGGGCUUUCCGUUUCGUUCUAAAAUCGCGAUUUUAACAAUCUUACUUGGGACUGUGAAUAAUGUACACUUUAGCUCUCUUCAUACAGUCAAUUGACUUUGACACAGUAAAAAUGAAAAAAAAAUUACUCCGUCGAUUGGUGAUUAAACUACAAUACUAAAUAUACCAACUCUGUGGAUUUGUGAUUAAACUUGGAAAAAAACAACAAUACUAAAAAAAGCCAUAUGUGAAUUUGUGAUUAAGAAAAUUCAUUAUUUUAUUUUUUGACAUAUUAGGUUCCACUAGAUGCACCCAGUCAAUGUGAGUGGUUGUCUUUUUUAUUAUUUAUGAGGAUCCAAUUGAUGCAUCAAGUCUAGGGCUCCACAAUCACUGUCACUAGUCAAUUCCGCCAACUUGUUGCGUAAACUACUUUGCUUUCUCUUCAUAUAUAGACAUGGAAAUCAUGUGGAAUCAAAAAAUUUAUUCCUUAACCUUUUUCAUGGAAUGAAGUGAUUUCCCAGUAGCAUCAUCAUCCACUUGCACUUUUUUUUUCUUCGUAGACUUGAGAAGUCGGUCAAGAUUCCCAAUAUAUUAUCAACAUCAUCAAUUUAAAAAAGAAAUAUAUGUUAGGUUGAUUUAUAUGUUAGGCUGAUUUACUUCCAUAUUAAUUAUUGUUUGAAUAUUCUUAAUCCGAAUGAUAUUAGUCCAUUCAAAACAAAUUCAUUUUCUUUUUUUAUAAAUAUAUUUAUAUAACUACCAAAGAAGAAAAUGCAUUGAUUAAAAUAUUAUUAAUCUGUUUGAAUGAAGAAAGUUAAGGCAGAGAUGACCAACCUAAACACCGUGUGGGCCAAUAAAAUUGAAAACAAAAGAUAAUAUCAAUGGCUUGCAAAAAAAAAGGGUUUGUGUUAAAUUUAUCUAUAUGUUAAAUUACUUGAUUUACUAAACUUAAUCAUGUAAUAUUGAAUUAUUUGAUGAAAACAUUAUCUAAAACAUGAUUAAUUGACAUAUUUAAAGUCAAAUAAAAAACAAAUCCUGCUUACUUUUAAUAUUAAAAAUUAUUUUUUAAUCUAAACUCUUUAGCAUGAAAAUUUAACAAAAUUAAAAUAAAUUAUGAUUACUAUUUGAGCGAUUGAUUUGAUCUUCGGCCCCACAAUUAUUUUUGUUAGUCUGUGAAUGUUUUUCUUCAAGCUUGUGAAACUGGAUAUUCCUCUGUAAUGUAAGUUCCUUUGUUUUUUUUCUUCGUAGACUUGAAAAGUCAUUUGUUCGAACAUUUGAUUUUCUGAUAAGUCAAUCAUCCACUGCAUCAAUCUCUAUCCCAUUGUUAGUCUGUGAAUUUUCUAUGCUGAAUUAUCCAAGGGAGACUUGGGCUUCAUUGAAUGAGAGAGUCUUCACGGCACAGAUCGCUCGGUUUGUGGUGUUGGAUUAAAGGAUAUUCCAACUUCUUGUUUACUGCUUUGCUUUUCUCCGUAGACUUGGGAAGUCAAGAUUCCUAUAAUCCACAUCAUCAAAAAAACCCAAAUCGAUAAUGUGGUGUUGGAUUAAAGGAUAUUAAUUCCAACGUCUUGUUUACUGCUUUACUUUUCUUCAUAGACUUGGGAAGUCAGGUGCUGUAUAUGAACAAUUGAUUUGAUCUUAUGAAAUACAUGGCAGAAGAGAUUAGAAAAUGAUUAACAGAUAUAUACAUCUCAACCAUACCAAUAUCCAUAAAGAUUCAAUGUAAAGUUACUUGAAAUAUAAUUAACUUUAUGUGUUAACUAAAAGAAAAUUGAAAGCAUAGAACCUUGGUUCUUUAAGCCACCAACUAAUUGGUUGUCGCUUAAGUCGAGAAUCUCCAGUUCUUUGAAAGGCAGAAACAAAGACGCAUUGAGAUACAAGUCUUCGACUGCAUUGAGAACAUCAUAAUUUACGCUAUAAAGAUUUAGUUCGAUCACUCGGUUUGUGGUGUUGUCACACACAACCAAAUCCCAGUUACAGCAAUUAAAAUGCUCUUUAUCCCAACCUUCUAGCUGAUGGGACCCAGGUGCACCUGCAUGAUUGAACCAAGCUUUUAUCUCUAAGAGACUAACUCUCUCUUCCUCCACACAACAAUGGCUCCGGUCGUUGACGAAGGACAGUGCCAUGAGCAGCAUCCACACCCACAUUUGCCUCAUCUUCAUAUUAACGCUCCUACUUGACAAAAUACAAAAGCAAGCAAGCUAUCUCUUAUAUACAAUUUUGUCCUCUUCAUGCAUUUGAUCGGACAGUGACAAUUAUCUGUAUCAUUGAAUUUUCUAUGCUGAAUUAAUUAUCCAAGGGAGACGUGGGCUUCAUUGAAUGAGAGAGUCUUCACGGCACAGAUCGCUCGGUUUGUGGUGUUGGAUUAAAGGAUAUUCCAACUUCUUGUUUACUGCUUUGCUUUUCUCCAUAGACUUGGGAAGUCAAGAUUCCUAUAAUCCACAUCAUCAAAAUGAAUGUGAUCGAAGAAAGGAAAAAAUGAAAAAAAAAAAAAAACAUUAACAGUGGCUUACAAAAAAUAAAUAAAUAAAUAAAACCAUCAAUUACGAGCUUCAUAAGAUAAUUUUAGCUUAAAAAAACCCAAAUCGAUAAUGUUUUCUUUAACAUUGGUAUCCGUUUAAUCAAUCUUCUGGUUUGAUCCUUGAUAGUGCUGUGUUUUGAUGCUUGUCGAUUAGCCACAAUAAUGUUAAAUUUACAAGGACAGAUCCAAGAAAAGCAAUGCAGGCCUGUUUUGGUCUCUGGGAGUCCCCUGAUAAAGGCUGCAACUAUUGCUUGAACCCUUGUAAAGGGGCCUUUACACAUGCGGUCCACUGAGAAGUACAACACCGUUCUUUAUUUAAUUCUUAUGGUUUAAAUCUACUAAUAACUUAGUCAUUUUGCAUGCUAUUUUUCCACUUGUUUUGUAAAAUAGAGAAAAGAACUGUUAAGCAUGCUGGAUAUUUCGCAUAAUAAGCUCCGGGUCCUUUAUCCUCUUGUUUGUCCAAUUUAACUUUCAUGGCAAACGAUGCAAAAUGCUAUGUAUCUUUUACUUGGCCUAGUAUUCAAUAUUUUGAUCAGUCAAAUCUUGUACUCAUGGGUUUGCCUCAAGUAGGCGAUUCUUAUCGGGAAAAUAAGUACACAAACAACAUUGCAGAUUAAUCUGUCGAGUUCUCAACAAAAAGACAGUCAUACUCCUAUCGAGAUGUGACGCGGAACAAUAAGUAAAAAGAAUUAAAGCAAGAAAAGAAAGAAGCUUUAAAGAAGAAAGAAGCUAAAGAAGAGGAGGAGAGGGGUUGGAGAUGUGCAAAUCUGCAAUUUUCAUUCAUUCAAAAAAUGUCUUCCCAAAUGACAAAGAGCAUAUAAAUAGUCUCAACCUAGAACAUCCUGCUAUUGGGCUUGGCCCAUCAAACCAAAUUGUUUAACAUAAAUAAUAAAAAUAACAAUGAGCAAGCCCAAAUGGGCUAAAUAAAUAAAAUUACAAUGAGAUAGGCCCAAUGGGCUUAGUCUCCCAACCAAAGCGUGACAGGCUGGGCCAUCCUACGUCGUCUCCGUCCAUAUACUCGUGUAAUCUGUGGCGUGGGCCUGGUGUCCUCACCAACUCUCCUGGGGUUAGAGAAACUCGACCUUGUCGAGCGUAGCAGUGGCCGACUCUGAUAGUACUCCCAAAGAUCUGGGUCAAGCUGCUGCAAAGUAUCUCUAGUAAUCCAAGUGCAGUCUGAGUCGGGUCGACCCACCCAGCGAACUAGAAACCGCUGAAUCUCACCAUUCCUAUUAAAAACAACUUGUUCAUCCAGAAUAGCAUCAAUAUUAUCCUUUUGUGCUGAUGUCAAAGUAAAAAGGGAUAGGGGUUUAUUAGGAUCAUCAGGAGGGGGUUAAGUGGUGUUCAAUGGGUCAUUUGGAAUAGGAAGUGGUUUGUGGUAUGCAACUAGAUCCUCAAUGUUAAAUGUAGAGCUAAUGCCAAAAUCAUGUGGUAAAUCAAGAACAUAAGCAUUUGGACCAACCCGUUGUAGCACUUUGAAAGGCCCGCACUACGUGCAUGCAAUUUUCGAUUAGCUCCCGAAGGAAACCGUUCGGGUCUAAUCCGUUAUCAUAGUCUCCAACAUUAAACUCAUUAUGUCGUCUAUGUGCAUCAGCUUGAAGUUUAUAUUGCGCAUUACUUGCUUGAAUUUGUUUAGUGAUCUCAAUAUGCAAAUCCUGAAUUCUACGUGCAAAAGACUCGGCUGACUCAGACACUCUAGCAUGAAGGGACAUGGGAAGAAGAUCUAAAGGUUUCCUAGGCUUGUAACCAUGUACAACUUCAAAGGGACUCAUGCCUAUUGACCUAUUGAUGAGCUAUUAUAGGCAAACUGGGCUAGGAAGAAUCAGAUCCCAAUUCCGAUUAUGAUCACUCACUAGACACCUUAAAAGGUUACCCAAACUCCUGUUAACCACCUCAGUUUGACCAUCAGUUUGGGGUGGUAAGCAGUAGAAAACUUCAAUUUGGUUCCCACCAUAUGCCAAAGGGUUUUCCAGAAAUAACUUGUAAAUCUAACAUCCCUAUCUGAAACUAUGGUUUGGGGAAGGCCGUACAACUUGACAAUCUCGUCAAAAUAGAGUUUUGCGACUCUGGAAGCAUCUGUGGUCUUAGUACAAGGAAUAAAAUGGGCCAUCUUAGAGAAGCGGUCGACAACCACAAAAAUAGAAUCAUGUUUCUUUGCAGUACGUGGAAGCCCAAGCACAAAAUCCAUGCUUACAUCUUGCCAAGGGCAAGUAGGCACGGGUAAUGGAGUGUAAAGACCAGUAUUUUGUUUUCUAUGCUUAGCGAGUUGGCAAGUUCGACACUGACCUACUAAUUUGGCGACAUCUCUUUUCAAACUAGACCAAAAAAACUGACGUUCCACUUCUUCGAUGGUUUUAUUCCUUCCAAAAUGUCCUGAGAGACCUCCAACAUGAAUCUCCCAUAUCAAAAAAUCACGCACAGAUGUUUUCAGGAUACAAAGCUUAUUAUCUCGAAAUAGGUAUCCAUCUUGGAGGUGAUAACCAUUUAUAACACGGUGAUGCGCAUCCUUCAAUGUCAAGUAUAUUUCUCCAAAUUCUAGGCAAGAUUCAUACUCCUCCUUAAGUCUCUCAAAUCCUGUGACUCCAACACUCAUUACAGAUAACAACGUCACCCGACGACUCAAAGCAUCUGCAGCCUUAUUCUCUAUUCCAGAUUUAUGUUUCAAAACAAAUGAGUAUGCUUGCAAAUAUUCAACCCAAUGACCAUGCCUAUUGUCGCACCCUAAAAAAAAUCAGCUCGCGGCAUCGGCUGGCGAUUUUUCUCGUUUGUUUGUCGUUGCUUGAAUUUGGUUCGUUGGAGUCGCCACCUAGUAAUUGAUUGCGGGCUACUAGGAAACCGGCUGUACUGGUCUUGUCAGAGAUUCGUGGGUACGGGACUGGUUGUGGUUAGGGAAGGUAUUAGCACCCCUAACACACCCUACCUGAGGUAAGCUGCUUCGCGAAUUUGAUGUAUUAAAGAAGUUUUAAUAAUUGUCUUUUCAUCAGAAAUUAGAAAUAUCACUUACGUAUAAGUUAAUAAUUCUUAACCAAGAUCCGAUCAAAAUAUUAAAUUCUUCUUUAAUAUAUUUGCAAUUUUAUCAUUAAAAAAUAUAUACAAAUAAAUAAAAACAAAAUACAAACACACACGUACACUUCCACUAUUUUUGUUUCUUUUCUUUUUUUCUUUUCUUUUCUUUUACAUCCAUAUUUACAAAACAAAUAGACAAUCCAAAAAAAAAUAAAAAAAAAAUACAUCAAACAAUUUAAAAUUACAAAACAGCCCCUAAAACAUCCUAAGGCUUCUAGAACAUGCAGGAACAGUGCACGAGAACAGUGCUGGGAGGCUUCUGGUGCAGAGAAUCAGUUGAUGCUUGCCAUUUGUUCUCAGUUAUACUAAGAAAGAAUGAACCGCGACUCUGUCCACCAUUCUCUCCUGUGCAUGAACAAAUCAGUGAAGGAAUAUUUGCAGUGAUAAAUAUGUUAAUGGUUUCCUGACUUCAUUAGAAUAUUUUGCUCCCAUUUUCUUUGCUCCAUGAACUGAAUAUAUAUUGCAACAUAAUUGUGGUGUUGUCAAUCACGGCAAUUAUGCACAUAAAUCCUUACUGGCGCCGCAGGUGGUUUUACUUCAUUGAAGAAUCGCAACUAUUAUGCUGCUGUUUUCUAGCGGUUAGUUUCCGUAAGCUGUCCAACAUCAUGUCAUCGAACCUCUGUAUAAUCAUUCAAUUAGAUGACACAUUUAAAAAUUUUAAAAACUAAUAAUACUAUAACUAUGAAGAACACCUAAAAUAUUUAAUUUUAUUCUUCCAAGUCUCUGCUAAACUAAUUAUACACAAUUGUGGUACUAGCAAUUGCGGCAGUUUUGUACAUAAACCCAUAUUGGCGACAUAGGUGGUUUUACUUCAUAGAAGAGUGCAUGGAGACUUGCUACUACUUUGAAUUGCAUACAUUUCAUAAGCUAUCCUCCUUCAUAAGGCCAUAGGGUCUGACGCGUGCCUUUUGUUUUUUCAUAUUUUUUAGUUUGAACUAAUAAAACCUUUACUUUUUUUCAAGCUUCAGUUAAUUUUAUUGCAGUUUCUCAAAUGAAUUCUACAAAUUCAAGAUAUAUAUGCAUCCUUAAUGCCAUAUUAAAGAGAAUAUAUAGAUAGGAAGAAGAGGAGCUUUACGUGAUAUGGAUAGCGAGAUGCUCCUAAGCCUAGAACCAGCUAAAACUUAAUAUUAUGAUGAAUAAUUCAGCAAAACUUAAUUCAAUUUCAACUUCCAUUCUCAUCAUUAGUACAAAAUGCAGAGUCAGAUUGAAAGGAAAAUGAUUGGAACUUGAAAUUCAGGUAACAAUACAUCUAGCAGAGCUUCCUCCUUACCCUCUCCCUAUUGUAUCUUCUUCGAGUGGAACUCUUAGCUUUUUGCCCUCCAAGAUAAAUGUUCUCAUCUUUCUCCAGUACUCUCUGAUAACUCAGAGAGCAGCCGCCCUGUAUAUUCCCUUUUUUUUUUAUUAUUAUUCAAAACGUUAUAGAGAAGUUCUUUUACAGAGAAACCCUUUUUAAGAUAACCAUCUAGAUAAAUAACAUUAAUCCCAUAUAUAUCAGGAUAUAUACAAUUACAAAAUAUUAAAAUAUAAUUUUUAUUUUAAAUUUUACAGCUCACGCUAACAUUAAUUCCUAAACAGUACAGCUCACGCUAACACUCUCUUUUCCAUCCAGCAUAAGCAGUCACAACUUACCUCCACGGAAAACUUUAUAGCCAACUUCAACCAAUAUUUAAAAGGAAUUUUGUCCUAUGUUUGAUAAGCAAAAUCAACAGAACCUGUCGUUGACUUUCUAGCUCAAAUUUAGCAGUAGCCAUUUUAAGGAGCAGAAACAAACACUGUACUUUUAUCAUCACGAAAAUCUGGUUGAUUUAUUAUCACGAAAAUCGAAAAUCUAGUUGAUUUAUCAUUACGAAAAUCUAGUUAAAACAAAUUAAUAUGAAAUCAAAUCGAGGAUGAAAGGUUGAUUUUGAGAUCAAGAAUAGCAUGUAUUAAAAAGAUAAUAAAUAAAAUUAGAGUAAUAACAUUGAUACAACUUAUCAUUAAAUUUCAUUUGCAAUUUCCUCUCGAUUUUCUGUAGUUCUGUAGAGACAUAGAUUAGUUGGUUCUUACGGGAAUUUUUCUUCCUUAAUUUCACUCCCAUUUCCCAAACGAUGGAAUUCAUACAACCUUUCGAUUUUAUUUCCACGUAAAAUCCAUUCUUCUCUAUCAAACAGAACAUAAUAAUGGGCCAUAUUUUAAUUUAAAUAUAUUUUUCCUAAUAUUUAAAGUUUUUUUACUGGGAAAAUAUCAUGGGGAUUUGAGAGAAAAGACAAUAGAUAAGAAAGGACAAGAAAAAAAGUGAGAGAAAAUGAUGGUGGGUCUUCAUUCUUCAGGGACCGUAUUGGAACUCUUUGGAGGCAUGCGUGAGAGGUGAAAUGGGAAAGUAUAGGGAACAAAGUGUAAUGUCAAUGAAUAUAUAGGGCUUAAAAUGCAAUUUACCCUUAAUUUUUUCGUGGAUGACGCAGUCACAAGGAGAGGAUAGAUGUCAUUUCUGAAAUGAUAAGACAGAAGUGACAAUAAGUAAAAUUUCGUAAAUCAUCAUCAAUCAAAAAUCAUGACGUGGGGACAAAUCACAUAAUUGAUUGAUUUUACAACCCUUUAAAACAAACUCAUCAAAAUAUUUAAUCCAAAUUCUGAAUAAACAACAAUAUCUAAUGUAGAUAGGUUUGAAUAAUUUGAUGAUUAUUAAUAGUCAAUUGUAGAUUUAUCACAAUUAGAUCAUAUAUAUAAAACCCAAUAAACUCAUAAUACGAACAAAUAUAACUGGGCUAACUUAAGAAAAAAAUACAUUGGUGCAAAAUGACUAGUCUAACUAAAAAAGUUUAAAUUUUAAUUUGACCUCAUGGAAAUCAUUCUCAAAUUUAAUUAGGAGAUUUUAUGGUUUCUAUUCUAUAAAGGGUGUGUGUAGGCUUGAAAGAAGUUAUGCGUGCCAAUUUCGUUAUUUUUUUAAUCUUUUUACAAUUCUAGUUUAAUUUUGGAUUUUAUAUUGUAAGAACCUAUAUCAUAUCAAGAUUAAAUUUCAGUAAAAAAAAAUAUUAGAAUUCUAGUUGUGGAGAGUUUUUUUAUAUAUAGAAUUACGUUUUUCUUUGAGCUUGUUUUUUUCUUAACCGGAUCAACUACAUCAAUCUCCUAAAAAAACGAAAAAAAAAAAAGUUGGGAAUGAAAACUUAAGUGAAAUUUAACAGUCUGCAACAACAAUCCUUUACCGUCCACCAUGAAAUGAUCAACAGGUUUUUUUUAAGGACAAUAUAAAUUCUGAAAGAGCGUAGACAUGAAUGACAGCCAAGAACCACCCAACAGCCAUGCAGGGUCUAGUCUGCAUGGCAAAGGUCCCCUCAAUCGCUGAAUCCACAUGAACACAGUCUAAUGAACUGCUAACAUGCAUUUGGUUGUGGUAAUUCAAUUAUGCGAAGGGUGUCGGUCCGAAUUCUUCAACUUAAACGAACAUGUUUGCGUAAUUAAGUGUUCAAUCACGUACUUAAUUUGCUAUUGAAAACAUUUAGAAUUUAUCAACAAUUUAAUUAAGCAGGUGUAUACAACCUCCCAACAUUUGUAGAUAUCAUUGAAUCAUUAGUUAACACCAAGUAGACUGAGAUCGGAUCAAAAUGUGUCACUUAAGCUCUUAAUAUUACAGAAAACUUACAAUUGCCCUGAUGGUUAAUUAGCACAAAAGACCGGCUUGGAGUUCAGACUAGCCAAAUUGCCCAACUCUUUAAGCCUGAAUUUUAUCACCAUCAUAAAAUGGGAAAAUUAGUUUAGAUAUACAAGGCGAAAUGGAAUUAAUUACCUAACAAUUUGAACUUCAGAUUGGUCAUGCAUGACCACUUGCAGGUCCUCCUAGUGUUAGAACCACACCUUGAAGAUCACUUCUUGGAUCUGAUUCUUUGGCUAAUGAUGGAGCAGCUCUGAUUACCGGAUAUGUUCUGGUCACUUGAGUUUGUCGAGAACUAUGACUGGAUUGUCCUGAGAAUGUUUUUGGAUGAUGAGAAGGCUUCAAGGUAUCAGUAUGAAAUUCAUUCGAAGCACCACCCAGAAACCAGUGCUCAAAAAGCCCCUUUAUAAAGAUAACUAACAGAGAAGGUCACAGACAGCAGAGGAGGUCAGCAUCACCAUCGAUUUCCUUUCUCCAGAAGCAGGGGUUUACCACCACAUCAACACCCAUCUUCCCCGAUCUCUUCAUCUCCUUUAGCACUGAAGAGAAACCGAACGGUGGAGCAGAGAACACAGACAGCAGAGGAGGUCAGCAUCACCAUCGAUUUCCUUUCUCCAGAAGCAGGGGUCUACCGCCACAUCAACACCCAUCUUCCCCGAUCUCUUCAUCUCCUUUAGCUCUGAAGCUUCCUCCAGCAGUGGCCAACACACGGCAGCCCCUACAAAACCAAAAUGAGAUAAAUCUCAAAGAGAAAGAAAGACUCGAACUUGUGUAGCAGAUCUGGACCGAGAUCCAGCCGCCAUCAGCUCUGGCGAUGCCUAACAACCAGAUGUGCUACAGGGAUGAACUCUCGGGCAACAAACAGUGAUAGACUCGAAAGAAGCCAAUCUAAAGGAGGAGAAGGAAAAAAACGCAGAUCUGUGAAAAAAAGACAAUAAUCGAAACUCAAUUAAGAAGAAAUCAUCGCACAAACAAUCUCCCGGACCGGUUGUUGAUUUGGAUCCUUUCCCAAUUGAGGAUGGAAGACUACGGGAAAGAGGAGAUUGGUUGGGGUGGGGAUUGAAGCUGUGAUUUGGGAUCGGUUCAGUUUAUCAAGCAGACUUCAAGAGGUAAGACCCUAUACAAUAACAGUAACAACAAAGAGAACUUUUCAACCCAGCCAUGGAGGGGAAAGCUCUCUCUCAAAAAGCCCAGCCACCGUUCCAGACAAACUUAAUUCCUUCUCACAAACACAAAAAAGAACUUGACCUUCCAUACAAGCCAUAUUACCCCCAGCCUCAGCUACCAUCCAUCACCUUAAACACUCAGACUUCAACAAACUACCGUGAUUUUCAACUACAAUGUUACUUUGAAAACUUCCUAAGUUGGGUCGAUUACCAUAAGCUUAAAGACUGCUUCAGAAAACAGGGGAAAGUUAUUAAGCUGUUUGUUUCUCGAAAAACAAAUCAAGCAGGAAAGCAUUUUGGCUUCGUCACCAUCCUCUCGAAUCUGUCAGACAAAACUCUGCUAGAAUGCUUAAAUGACAUAUGGUUUGAUUCCUACAAGCUGAGAGUUAAUGUGGCUAAGCACAGAAGAAAAGAUGUAGUGACGAAACAGAAAAUAAUGGGAACCGGGAAACAAAUACCCAAGCUCAACAACAAAGCCAAGGCCCCCAUCCGUGUAAGAGACAACCGAAGCUAUCUUGAGGCAGUAAGAUCAGGGAGUCAAGUGCAUCAAGCGUCUGAUAAUGCCACACCACGUCAUCAUAACUUCAUUUCUUUCAACACUACAGAUGAGGAAAUUCUAUGGUUAAGAAAUAGUCUUAUAGGCAAGAUAUCUCAGGGAGUAGAUUAUGCACAAAUCAGACAUGGAUUAAUUCAGCUAGGCAUUUGCUUCUCUGCUUUCCGUUUCCUAGGGGGAUCACAGGCAAUCAUAAGCUUUGAUGGUGAGAAAUCUAUGCAACAAGCCAUGCAGAAAGGUAUGGAAUGCUGGAGGCUCUACUUUGAUGAAGUUCACCCGUGGACUGAAGAAGAUGUGACAGAGAGUCGUCUAGCAUGGAUCUCUAUCUCUCAUUUGCCUAUCUCUGGCUGGAGUUUGAGAUGUAUCUCAAACCUUCUCAUGAACCGUGGACGGGUGAUAGGUUUUGACAAAACCAGCCUAAAAAUCUCUGAACUUCACAGUGUGAAAAUCCUUAUAGGUACUCACUUGCCGGAGAUCCACGACUCUAUAGCUCUCAUGCUAAACUCCAAGUUAGUACACAUAUAGCUGGAUGAGAUUGACCUUUUAAGAUAUCCAGAGGCAAAAGGAAUUUCAUACUCGAUGGCAGAAUUUCAAACCACAUUACUUCAGGGAGAUAGUGCUGACAGUGACUCAGAUGAUGAAGUGUACACUGAUCUUGCUUUUGACUUGGCAGGAGAUGACAACAUUUGCAGGCUAGGUAUCACUGAUAAGAAUUGUGGAUCUGAUGACAAGGGACACACGAUGGAGGUAAGGAAGCACAACCCAUAUGGGACACAUGAGGUGUACGAUCAUAGCUUUGCGUCCACAAUAAAUGCCAUUGACAACACAGAACGGCUACAUAUCGUUGUUGACGAUCUCUUUUACGAUGUGAAUUCAGCAAGCCCACUAGAGCAUCCAAGCAUGGCUUUCAAAAGAGACUCCUUCUUGCCACAACCUUAUACCCCUGUUAGCAGUGAUGAUUCUUUAGAAUCCCACUUCAAAAUCCAAAGCCUACCUCUUACAUCUAACCAACAACAGACCCCAACAGCCAAACAACCAAGACUAAAGAAAAUAUCCUCUACUAGGAGUCUCCUCUCCUUGCACUCUUCAGCAAGCAUGUCUUCUAUAGACUCUUACAUCAGGGUGAAUAAUACCCGUAACCUGAAAGAAUAUGCAGCGGAAUCGUCCCACAAUGAAGUCAACAAAAUGAUCCGUUUGGGAGAAGCUUUGGGUCUUGGUAAUUCAGCUCUCUUGGAACAAUUUUCUGGUCUUAUCAUAAGACAGCUAGAAAAGGAGAAGGAAGAUUGGCAGAAACAACAAUGAAUAGUAAGUUUUCAUCCCCUGCAGAUAGGCCUUUUAAUUCUGUCAUGAAUAUUCUUUCUUGGAAUUCCUGUGGCUUGGGCAUGAUGAGGAAACGAAGAAGAAUCACGAAAUUAAUAGCAGAAUAUAAGAUUGAUAUAUGUUUCAUGCUGGAAACUAAGCUAGCUAAUUGUUCCAUUGGUUUUGUAUCUCGUAUUUGGAAUGAAAAUCAUGUGAGUUGGUUUAGUAAUGAUGCUCAAGGAUCAAAAGGAGGUCUGCUUGCUAUGUGGAAAAACACUAACUUUGAAGUCUCUAAUAUUGAAUAUGGUCAUGGUUGGAUCGGUUUAUAUGGUAAACAUGUUCACAGUGAUUUUCAUUGCUUUGUUAUUGGCAUCUAUGCUCCUUGUAACUAUCAGGACAGACAAAAACUUUGGGAGGAUCUCAUUCUUCUGAAGCAUGCUUUUGAAGUUCCAUGGAUAAUAGCAGGAGAUUUUAAUGAAACGCUCUCUCAGAAAGACAGAAACAGUGGAAUUUGUCAUCCUGCAGGCUCAAAUUCUUUUAGCAGAUUCCUGCAGUCUUGUGAGCUCACUGAAUACCCUUUAGCAGAAGGUUAUUUUACCUGGUUUAGAGGAAGGUCCAAGAGCAAACUAGAUCGAAUGUUCGCAAGCUCAACCUACCAUCUUCACUUCCCCAGUUUAUCUCUUCGACGACUUCCAAGAGAGUUCUCAGAUCAUUGCCCUCUAAUUCUAUGUAGCUUCUUGCAAGACCAUGGAUGGCGUCCUUUUCGUUUCUUGGACUGUUGGACUCAAUACCCAAAUUUCAAGCACAUUAUUGAAAGCUUCUGGAAUGAUGCAUGCUCCCUUCACCCUGGCCGCUUUAAAUUUCUCAAAAAGCUUAAUCAUAUUGCAGUCAAAUUGAGGCAAUGGAAUAAGCUUGUAUUUGGAAAUCAAGAAGCUGGCCUUCAACGAACCCUUUCAGCUAUCAACAUACUAGAGGAAAAAUGUGAAGAAGAAGGUUUAACCGACCAAGAGCAGGAGCAUUUAGACUUUUUGUUGAAAGACCGCUGGGUUCGCAACAAUCACAUUGAAUCUAUUUGGAGGCAGAAAUCAAGACAGAUGUGGUGCAAAUUGGGUGACAGAAAUAACAAGUUUUUUCACAUGAUUGCCAAUUUCAGGAAGGCUAAAUCAUCAAUACUUAAAAUCCACCAUAAUGGCAACACUUUUGACUCUCAGCAGGGAAUUAAGCAGGCUGCUGUGGAUUAUUUCUCUGAGCUGUAUGACUCUCCCUCUGGUAAAAAGCCGCAGUUAAAUCCUUUGGGUUUCAAAUGUCUCUCUAAAGAAUCCUCUGAAUGGUUGGAGCAAGAAAUCACAAUGGAAGAAGUGAAGCGCGGUGUAUGGGGUUGUGAUGGGUCAAAAUGUCCUGGACCAGAUGGUUUCAACUUCAAAUUCUACAGAUUAGCAUGGGAUUUUAUUGCUCAAGACAUUCUCGAUAUAGUCUUAAGCUUCUUCAGAACAGGAAGGCUUCCCAAAGGAAUCAAUACAACCUACGUAACUCUCCUCUCUAAGACAGUCGAACCCAUUGAGUUUAAAGAUUUUCGGCCCAUCAGCAUGAUUCAUGGUAUUUAUAAGAUCAUUGCUAAAAUCCUUGCUUCUAGACUGAAAGUUGUUAUGCAAGAUAUCAUUAGCAUUAACCAAUCAACGUUUAUAGCAGACCGUAACAUUAUAGAUGGCUUUAUGAUUGCAAAUGAGCUGGUGAAUGAUCUAAAAAAGCAAAAAGCGGCAGGUUUGAUUUUCAAGAUUGAUUUUCAUAAAGCUUUCGACUCAGUCUCCUGGGAUUACCUAGAUGAUAUCAUGGGUUAUAUGGGGUUUGGUAGAAAAUGGAGAACCAUGAUUUAUGAAUGUCUUUCUUCAUCAAAACUCUCGGUUUUCAUCAAUGGAUCUCUUUCAAAAGAAUUCUCUGUUCGGCGAGGGCUGCGUCAAGGAGAUCCGAUUUCCCCUUUUCUGUUUGACAUAGCUGCUGAGGGCCUCUCUGUACUCUUUCAAAGGGCAUCUAGUGGGAAUAUUAUCAAAGGGCUGCAAUUUGCAUUAGGAAUUUUUGUCAGCCAUCUUCAAUAUGCAGAUGACACAUUAAUAUUCAUCCCAGCAGAUAUUGAUCAGUUAGUUCAAGUCAAAAGAAUUUUAAGAUGGUUUGCUCUGUCUUCAGGCCUUCAUAUAAACUUCCAUAAAAGAUCCAUUAUUGGUAUCAAUGUCGAUGAUCACUUGUGCUUGCGCUUGGCUACAUCUAUUUUCUGCAGAUCAGACUCCCUCCCAAGCAAAUAUCUUGGCAUGCCAUUAGGAGCCAAUCCAUCUCGUAUCUCCACAUGGAAGCCAGUGAUAGAGAAGUUUCGUAAAAGGCUUCAUAUAUGGAAGGGGAGACUACUAAGCAUGGCUGGUCGUCUAUGUCUCAUUAAAAGUGUCCUUAAUUCCCUGCCUAUAUAUUUUAUGUCUGUAUUCAAGAUGCCAAAAGGGGUAGGCAGGCUUCUUUCAUCCAUCCAAAGACGUUUCUUGUGGUGUGGAUGUACCAAGCAAAGAUCUUUCUGCAAGAUCCAAUGGAGAAUAGUGAUGCGCGAUAAGAAACAAGGAGGCCUCGGUGUAGGCUCCCUUAUAUCAAAAAACAGAGCCCUGCUUCUAAAAUGGAUUUGGAGACUCUCUUCCCCAGGUACAAGCUUAUGGAAAAUGAUUAUCUCUUCAAUGUACAAUCCAUCUUAUGAGAAUGGGAUCCCAAUUUUCUACAACCAACCAUCCAAGAUAUGGAAGGAUAUUAUGUCCAUCGUUCAAACCGACGUUCACCAAGUCUUCACGAAUCAUUGCAAAUUCAUGGUGGGGAAUGGCAAUUUAACAUCCUUUUGGCUAGACAGCUGGAUUGGUGACGACCCUCUCAAAACAGCCUUCCCAAGGCUAUAUCUUUUGUCUUCCUCUAAAACUGCUUUGGUGGCUGACAUGGGUAGAUGGAGCAAUGGAAUCUGGCUCUGGUCCCUACAAUGGCGCAGACCUCUUUUUCAUUUUGAACAAGAACAACUAUCACUUUUAUCAUCCUUGCUGGAAUCCAAGCCAAUGUUCUGCCACAAGAUGGAUAAGAAAAUCUGGACCCUCAACAACGAUGGCCUCUUCAGUGUAAAAUCUUGCUCCAAAAUGAUGGACCAGUUACUCUACGGUGGAGCCAAACCAUUCCAAUCUUCUGUUUGGAUAAAACUAACCCCACCAAAAGUGCAGCUUUUCCUUUGGCUCCUUGUCCAAGACAAAGUAACCACAAGAGAUUUCCUAUUUCAACGCGACUACCUCUCCCUUCAGGAGUCAAGAUGUGCUUUCUGCAAUAAAAGCUUGGAAUCUUCAAGUCACCUCUUCAUUCACUGCCACUUCUCUUGGAAUAUAUGGAUGAAACUGUUUUCUAAUCGGGGCUUUUGCAGUGUUUUUCCAAAAUCUGUUGAUGAUAUGUGCUACCAAUGGUCUUCUAUGGUUAAAGGCAAGCAACAAAAUCUCUCAUGGCAACUUCUUUUCUCAUGCGUUGUUUGGAAUCUUUGGCUUCAUCGAAAUGAUGUUAUUUUUAAUGACGCUGCCCCUAACCAUCAAAUCUGUUUCUCCAUGGUGCGCCAAAGUAUUGCUUUAUGGUUGAGGCUUGACUCCAACUCUUUCGAGCUUAACAUAGAGAAUGUUUAGUCGGGAGGAGUUGGUUUCUUUUGAUUUGUCUGUUCUCCUUUUGUUGUUAUCCCCUGUUUCAUGAAACAGUUUUUGUGCUUCCCUUUCCUCUGCUUGUUCUUCUGAUGUAAGUUAGGCUACUAUCUUUGUAGCUUUUUCCUUUUAAUAAAAUUUCGACUAUUAACAAAAAAAAAAAAAAAAGGUAUCAGUAUGAUUGGAGUUUGGAAAUUGAUGAACAAUGGGGAUUGGAGUUGCUGGUGAUGCAUGAUUUUGAGCUAGAAUUGCCCCUCUCGAUACGAAACCAGGUGCCUGAUAGAUAAAAUUAGGUUUCAAUACGAGUUCGAAAUAUACUGCAAAUGAGGGAAGUAAUGAGGAGCUUACAGGUGAAAACAAGACCCCUCUGAAAAUCUUCCCAUUAACAGUUGCAGUCAUUAGAAGGCCUAAGUCGAAGGCUCCGUCAACUUUACCUCGAACUUCAGCACCAACCUAUGGAGAAAGAGAAGAAAGUGAAAAGCAAGUAUUAGCAGAACAGGAAGGAAGACAGACAAAAAAAUUUGUAAUUGACAAUGUUUUGCAUUGCAUAUAUCAACUUAAUGAUUUACCAGGUUUUGAGUACACCCUGGCUCCAUGGAUCUAUGUUCCACUGCUGGGAAUGGUGUUCCUUGCCUGCCAAACCCUGCAUGAACAUAUUGUUCUACUCUUUUAUUCUCUUGAAACUUGGAGCCUGUGCCGGGUUUUUUGGAUCACAAGUCUAGGUAGUUUCUGAUUACAUGCAACACUAUCAGCCUGGUAAUUUCUUGGAAUUUUGUAUAAUUAAAUAAUCUAAUCUUAAACCACUACUCCAAUUGUUGAUAUAAAAGUUUAAAACCGAUCUAAUUAAAAGAAUUCAAAAUUAAGUGUGAAAAAUAACUAAAAUAAAAAAUUAAUUCAAAUAACAAAAACAAAAUCUUUUGCAUCUGAUUUGAGAAAAUUUAUGUGGUGGAUGACCGAGCCUGUAAAAUUAUAUGAUAAAAUUUAAGUAUAAUUUAAAAAUUAAAUUUAAAAUUAUUUUUAUCAGGUUUUAUGUCUAAUGUGUUGAAUUUGUUUAUGGAUUUCUAUUCAGGCUUAAUCAUAAACGUCUUUGUUUACACGUCAUAAUUAAAGCAUAAAAUGUCGUGUAAGCCGAUGCUUGACUUUUUUAAAAAAUAAUUUAGUUUCGGUUGACUCACAAAAUUGAGACAUCUAGCUAGUCACUCAUGGCUUUAGACGUACCUCUUGUAAAGAUAUCAACGGCUUUACGUCUACCAAGUGUCAGAAGAUUAGAGAUUGAUAUUGUUAGAAUGUUGUUAAUAUUGUUUGUUAGCUAAGAGAGUUUGUUAGUAUUGUUUCAGUGCUAAGAGAAAGAACAGAUACCGUGUAUUACCUUUCUAAUAUAGCCUAUAUAAACUGAGGAUUAGUGAUGUGAAAAUAAUGAAAGAAAAAGUAAUAAUAAAACAGUGCGAGACUUCAUCUUCUGCUUCUCUGUAACAGAAUUAUUCUAUAUUCUUCUUCCUUUCUAUUCUCUGCACUUUCUUCAUUUCUGCUCCUUUUCUGUAUAAAUUCUACCGUCUAUCAUGGUAUCAGAGCAGUAACUGGUCCGAUGGGAUGUCUUCUGAUUGUCAAGAAUUAUACUGGCGAUCGUCUAAAUUUUGGUUUGGCUGCUAAGCAAGCAAAAUCUGAAGGUUAUAAAGUAGAGACUGUAAUUGUUGGAGAUGACUGUGCUUUACCUUCACCUCGAGGCAUAGCUGGACGAAGAGGGUUGACGGGGACUAUUCUUGUUCAUAAGGUUGCUGCAGCUGCAGUUACUGUUGGCCUUUCUCUUGAUGAAGUUGCUGCAGAAGCGAAACGUGCAUCUGAAAUGGUUCUAAUAUCUUGCUAAUCUCUGUUUCUGUAGAGAGAGCAAUACGGUCUCUUAAGAUUCAUACUUCUCAACAAGCUUGCACAAAGAGUCACUAAAUUGCUUUUGGCCACUUGCCAGAGCAAGUACGAUAGUCUUCUCCAUCAAAUCCUGAAGAAGAUCAAUAUAUAACAAAGAGUCGCCGCCAAUGUAUUACCAGCAGCCAUUAAUCUCUGUUUCUGGCAUUAUUAUCUCCUUAUCUACACAAUUCUUUCAUAAUAAUCGAUAUGUCUAUCAUUUGUUUGAUAUAUUGUCAAACUGAAAAAUUCUUCUUCAAAUCUUCAACUUUCUGCAAGAUUCUUCCUUCUCAAUCUUUGAUUCUCUUCUUUUCUAUCUCUUGCACUCUAAAAAUGGCGACUACUUCUCAACUUCAGAUAGUUCAACUCUAAUAAGAGAAUAUACACAUAAACGUUUUCUUCUUCCUCUACACUACAUAAUUUCUCUCUGCUUCUCUUCAUCUCUAUUCUCUGCUUUUCUUCUCUUCAUCUAUAUUGCUUCUAUUCUCUGCUUUUCUAUUGCAGUAUCUCCCUCUAAUUCUAUUCACUUCUUUGUUCAUCUCUGUGACGAUUCUUGCUAGCUUUUCAAAAUAUUUCUUCUAUCUCCAUUGCUUCCAAUCCAGUGUUCCAUUCCAGGAUGAAACAUCUCCAGAUCGAUUAUCACUUUGUUAGGGAACGGGUUAUCAAGGGUGAUUUACUGGUCCAGCAUGUCUUCUCUACUGAUCAGUUUGCUGAUAUCCUCAUCAAAGGUCUUUCCAUUUCUUUGUUUCAGCAUCAUUGUUCCAAUCUCAUGCUUGGCUCCUCCAAGCCUGCGAUUGAGGGGGCAUGUAAAGAUAUCAACGGCUUUACGUCUACCAAGUGUCAGAAGAUUAGAGAUUGAUAUUGUUAGAAUGUUGUUAAUAUUGUUUGUUAGCUAAGAGAGUUUGUUAGUAUUGUUUCAGUGCUAAGAGAAAGAACAGAUACCGUGUAUUACCUUUCUAAUAUAGCCUAUAUAAACUGAGGAUUAGUGAUGUGAAAAUAAUGAAAGAAAAAGUAAUAAUAAAACAGUGCGAGACUUCAUCUUCUGCUUCUCUGUAACAGAAUUAUUCUAUAUUCUUCUUCCUUUCUAUUCUCUGCACUUUCUUCAUUUCUGCUCCUUUUCUGUAUAAAUUCUACCGUCUAUCACCUCUAACUUCGCUUACUAUGCUUAUUAUGCAAAGCAAUUAUUUUCAAGCUUGUGGAACGGGGUGUUCCUCCAUCUUCUUGUUUAACUGCUUUCUUCAUAAACUUGGGAAGUCAUGUGUUAUGAACAAUUGAUUUGAUCUUGUGAAAUAUAUGGCAGAAGAGAUUAGAAAAUGACUUCUAUUAUCAAUAAUUUCUUCUUCCUUGUGAAAUGAUUUCCCGAUACAGCUCUUAAUUUCAACACCUGCUUGCUCUUCUUUUCUUAGUAGACCUGGGAAGCAAAGAUUCCUAAUUAUCCACAUCAUCAAUCGCGAUCCCAUCAAAAAUGAAUUUGGUGGAAGAAAGAAAAACAAAUUGAAAGAAAAAUUAUCAAUUAAGAUUUCAUGUCGUCACAAAAAACAAUUACGAGCUUCAUAAGAUAAUUUUAGCUAGUUUGUCUUAAACUCAUUAGAACAUCCUUUAAUCUUCAACUGCUGUCAUUUGAGAUUUCAUGUUUGUGUUUUCAAUUAAGAUUACACAUCCAUUUGUCAGAAAUACGCACCAAUAUUCCUUAUUACCUAACCUUAAUCCUGUAAUUCUGAUUCUGAACUGCUCUUUACACUCCUUUUCCAUCGAUCAAUACAGAUCAAUCUUUAUUAUUUGCUCCAGGUUGCUGCUGCUGGUUACUCUGUCAUGGAUUAUUAUUUUUCAGUAGUCAGUUAUCCUAGUGCUUGCUUGGACAUGCUCAACAAUGGAGUUUCUCUAAAUGUAAUUCCCACAGUGAAAUCUUCUGUCAAAGUCAUUUCAAGCCGGAAAAGAUCAGGAAAAUGCAGUCUUGAAACAUCAAGCGAAUAGUGCCCAGCAGGAAAAAUUCGUUUCUACUAACAAAUGGAAUGUAAAGUUGAUCCAAGGAUGCUACUAACUUACAAGAAAUUAAAUCAUCAAAGAAAAAAUAUCCACUAGAAGAAGUGUUCUUUCCUUCUAUUUAAAAAGAAUUCGAAAUUUUACUAGACCCUAAUAACAUGAAGUAAAUCUGUUUUUUUUACUCUUGGCUUGUUCUCAAAAAUUUUAUUGAUAUUAAUUAAAUAACAAAGACAAUGAUGUAGCUAGUAUGAACUAUGAAAAUUGAGAACGAGAGGGAUGAUCAGGAAUGGAUUAAGAAAAAUGGGCUUGAAAGAGACCCAACAGGAGAGAAAAAUCUAAAAUAAACUCUUGAUGUCUUUCAUAACUCAAUUUUUGACUCUUUUUAUUUUAUUAUUAUUACUAUUAUUUUAUUUAUUGAAAAAUGAUAAUAAAAAAAAUAAUGAUGAAAAGAAAAUAAAAAAUGAAGAAUAAAUUAAAAUUAGGUUAAGGCAACAUGAUUGGAAGUUUUGGGGAUUAAUUAAAGUUUGGAAUUAAUUCAAUCAAGGGUUUAAUUGGAGAAUUGAUAAGUUUUGAGAUUAAUUGAGUUUGGAAUUAAUUGAAUUAAUGAAAAUCAAGGAUUUAAUUAGAGAAUUGACAAGUUGUUAGACUUAUUUGAACUUGGAAUUAAUUUAUUCAUGGACUUAAUUGAAAAACCAUCAAAGUAUAGGGCUGAUUAUGGUCAAAUUUGCAAGAAAUUAAAACCCAAGGACCAAUGUGUAAAUGGCGCUGAGAUUCAGGGGUUCAAUUACAAUUUACCCAAGGACUGGACUGCAAAAAGUCAACAUGUCUAGGAUGAAAACGCAAAAGGCCAUUAACAUCAGCACUGUUCAUCUUCUUCACCCGAAAACGCAUGCCUUUAUUGCAUUAAAAUCCAUGCAACCGCAUGGCAUUCUCUGGUUAUAAAAACCAGAGAAGGAGAACGAGCACCAGGUUAGAGAGGGGGAGAGGAGAAAAUAAACAGACUUUCAUUCCUCUGUUUCUUCUUAAGGAAACAGAGGAGGUUAAAGAAAAAAGCAACAAACAGGAGGAAAAAAGAGCAAAACCGGGGGGAAAAAGGGAGAGAAGACAGAGAGAGUGAGCGACCGAAAAGGGGAAAACAAAAGGAAAAACUGAGAGACAGGGGAGAAAAGGCAGAACCGAGGGGACUAAAGGGGGGGAAUAAAAGAAGAAAACAGAGGAGACAAAAACCGGGGAGAGGGGGAGACACAGAAUCAGUUUCAACCAUCUCUUCACCAUCUUCAACAACUCUUCAGCCUCCAGGAACCCAGACAGGAGAAGAAACCCCAUCGACUUGCUUUGGGAAGACGCAGAGUUACAGAAUAGAGAGCGGAGAAGCAUACGAAAAAAAGAGGGGGGCAAGCUUCCAUUCAACCGACAGCACCUAGCAUCUUCAUCACCAUCGUUGAUGUCCUGAGCAGAGGAAACACAGAAGGAAGACCAAGGAAAGCAGUAGACAAGAGUCACCACCAGCGUCACCACUGUUUUUGUCGCCUCCAGAAGCAGCAGCUUCAGAUCUCCAUCUUCAGUAGCCACUGCACCAGAAACAGGGCACUCCAGGAGAGAAAUACAGGGAAGAACCGGGGAAGAAAAGGAGAAAGAGAAGGAAGAAGAGAGGAAGAACAAGAGGUGGCAGCGCCGUUCGUCCAGCGCAGUGCGCCAUCGUCUCCGGCUACGCCUUGCUGCACCAGGUAAGUCUUCUCUCGUCUCUCCCCUCCUGCGUUAUAUUUCACUUGCCACUCUAGCAAGUGAAUUAUAAUUAAUUCACUACCCAACCGGGUCACUGGCUUCGGCCAGUGACCAGACCAGGAAUGUUGGGUCUACCUAGCCAUGUAGGCUGGAUCAGACCCAGCCCCACAAAAAAAAUAAAAAAAAUAAAAAAAAAAACAAAAAAAAACUAGAAAGUGUAGAAAUAAAAAUUUUACAUGUCUUAGGAAAAAUGUAUUUUUGUCAAUUUAUUCACUGAUAUUAGGAUCAGAAAUAAAAAAAAAUAUAUACUGAUUUUUUUUUAGCUAUGAAUUUCUACACCAGAGUUGGAAUUAUUCAUGGUGGAAUUUUUACCAACGCUAGAUUUGGAAUUAUUCGUGGUGGAAUUUUUAAACUCUAGAGUUGGAAUUAUUUGGGGUAGAAUUUUUACCAACACCAGAGUUGGAAUUAUUUGAAAUCGAAUAUUCACUGACACUAAAGUCAGGAAUAUUAUAAACAAAUCAUCAUAGCAUAAGCGAAUAAAUGUUUAGUAAUUUAAGACAAAACCAGCAAUGCAGUCUGCCUCAGGCAGAACAUUUAAAGGGUGAUAAUAUCUUCCCUUUUACAUAACCAAUCCCGAACCAUAGAAUCUCUGUUGACUAGUUAGGGUUUCUAGUGGCGACUCCUUAAACAAGAUUUUUUUCCCCUAAAAGAACAAGAUGCCAGAAAUCUAUUUUUUAUUCUUUUUCCAUAAUGAAGAUUAUUUUUAGAGCCGCCGGGUGCGACAAUGUUUAAAAUAGCCUAGAAGUAGGGCUUAGAUAGCUAGGGCUGAGAAAAUUGCCAAAAUAGGUAAAUACUGAUUAUUCAAUAAAUAAAUAAAAUAUUGCCUUGUUUUAAGUUUAGACUUAUGUUCUUUCAGCAAACAAAAUUAUUGUAGAACCACAUUCCACCUUGCUGGUAUGAUCCUGUGGUUCUAUCAAUUAUUUUAUUAAUUGAGAAAAUACUGUAAACUAUUACAAUUGUGAAUAAAUUCCAUAUUAUUAGGGAUAUAGUAAUCACAAGAAGCCAAGAAAUCUAAGAGCAAAACGCAACAUAAUUAAGACAUAACAAACAAAUAUGGAUACAAGCACAAGAACAAACACAAGUCACAUCAAAACAGAAAGGCUAAGCAACAAGAACCGGACACUUCGACAGAACACUUCUCACAGGCAAAUUGCUAAACAUGCAGUGAUCAACCCUUGAUUUGGAAUGCGACUGCAUCCCCAUAGAGGAUCACAACAAAUUCAGAAAGCAGCCCACACGCUGAUAAGACCCAAUCACCUUUUGAAUCUGGACAACUUGCGAAAGUUUAUAGCCAAAAAGCAGUAGCAAGUGUCAAUGCACUCUUCAAUGAAGUAAAACCACCUGCGUCGCCAAUGCGGAUUUAUGCACAGUACUGCUGCAAUUGUCAACACCACAAUUAUGUAAAACACACCAAAGCUGGCAUAGAAACUGUCCAUGUCUAUUAAUCCAUCAUCUCCAUUGGAAUUGUUAGGCACUCUCACUGAUGGUGAUUCUGUUUUGUCGCAACUGUUUUGCAAUGGAGGUCCACAAAGAAGAGGAUUCCCUUUAUAACUGCUCUCAUCAAAGGUAGCAAAUUGAUAUUUCAUCUCCGGUGUUCUUCCUGACAAAUUAUUGUACGACACGUUGAAAACUGCUAGAAAGUUCAGUUCAACGAGUUGUGCAGGAAUUCUCCCAUUCAAGUUGUUGUGAGAAAGAUCCAAGCUCUCUACGUGCUUCAGAUUGGAGAAAGAUGAAGGGAUCAAUCCCGUGAGAUUAUUUUGUGACAGAUUUAGAGCGAAUAUGUCACUUAAGUUUCCCCAUUCUGUCGGGAUUUCUCCAGUGAAUCUAUUACAAGACAGAUCCAUAGCAGACAUGUAACGAAGGAUAUCGCCCUCGUAAGUGUAGAAAUUUUUCUUUGCUGUAAGCUCUACAGCUAUUUUUACAUCAAUCUCUGGCCACAUAGUUUUGCUAUCAAUAUGAAAACCUCUGUUACCCAAUUUUCUCCCCCCUAUGGAUGCCAAUAUUUCUUUCUGGCUUCCAUCAUCUUCUGACACCGUAUCUGUGACGACCAAAGUUUUUUCACCCGAUGCCGUAAAAUUUAAAUUGCUUAAACAUAAGGGUAACGGACCAGAAAAAUUAUUUUCUGAAAGAUCCAAUAUGCUUAAUUUCCUUAACAAGCAUACCUGAACAGGAAGUUCCCCAUUGAAUUGAUUAGAUUUCAGAAGAAGAAUGCUCAAUUUCGAUAGUCUAUCAAUCCAAUUUGGAAUUGGCCCAGUUAAGUUGUUAUUGCCAAGAUCUAAUGUCACCAAAUGAGAGCUAUUAUAAAAAGCAUUUGGCAGUGGACCACUCAAUCGAUUUCUGUAUAGGUGGACAUAGCGUAAAUAUGGUGUUUGGAAGCCCAACGACAAUGACCCAGACAGAUUGUUUUCAGAAAGAUCUAAAAAUUCAAGCAAAUAACAUCUGAAAAGCUCUAUUGGAAUGGUACCUUCAAAAUGAUUUCUGGACAAGUCAAUUCCCUGCAAGAAUAUUGAAGAGUUCCCAAUUCCCUUUGGAAGCGUGCCUGACAAAAGAUUGUUACUGAUAUCAACCAACCAAAGUGAUGAUGCAAGAGAAAAGGUGCCAGAUACUUGUCCAACAAAUUUGUUUCCAUCUAGAAAGAGGUAACGCAGGUGAGUCAUGUUGAAAACAAAAGGCGGUAAUCGCCCUUUGAAAUUGUUAUUGGACAGCUUCAAAAACCACAACGAGGAGCCUCCUGUAGGCAAGUUAUGCUCAAGUAGUUCACAAGUCAUAUGAUUGUUGGAAACAUCCAAGUAUGCGAGAGAGCUCAUAUUCCCAAAAGGAGGAAUGCAACCUGUAAGGUUGUUGUUAGCCAUCAAGAAGUUCUUCAAACGUGGAAAAAUCAAACAUGUGUUUCUUGCAAUUUGACCAUGGAUGUUGUUGUCAGAAAUAUCUACUGUCCGAAGGUUGGGUGUUGGAUGUUGUGGCAACUGCAAAGGACCUGUAAUUGAGGUGUCUCUCAAAUAUAAUCGAUUUAACAUUCUAUUAUUCUCAACCAGCCAUGAUGGGAAAGGUUGUCCAAUGAAUUUGUUGUGGGAUAGAUCAACAAACAUCAAAUCAUAUUGGCUAUGGAGGAAGUUUGGAAAUCCAGCCUUGAGUGGUUUUGAAGUACAGUUUGAAGCACUGAAAAAACGAAGCUGGAACUUGGUAGCUGAAGGCUGAAAACUGGGUGCAGGUAUUAGCUCAUUGUUAUCGCAUGCAAUGAACUUGAGGUUGGAGUGGUUCAUAAAUGAACCAAAAGAUAUUGGAACUUGAAAGUAAUUAUUUGAAACUGAGAGGUAUUCAAGCUGCGUAAGAUGGGAGAGGUGACUAAAGGCAAUAUUUCCCUCCAAUUGAUUGUCAGAUAAAUCCAAGAAUUGUAGAAAUGAUAGAUUUCCAAGACAAGGAGGGAGCAAGCCCGUUAGUUUGUUUCCUGAGAGAAAUAGCUGUUCAAGAUUCGUCAGUUCACACCAGCCUGCACAUUAUAUCCAUAUGUUCAUGUCAAGGGAAUAGGAAUAUAUCAAUUAUGUACUAUUCGUUGAGAGAUCUAUUCGAAUACAAGUUUAUUAGCGAUUUAAUUUACCUUGGUGAGGCAGGGUGCCAUUUAGCAUACAGCUUUCCAGAGACAAAAUUCUGAGAGCAGGAAACGGUCCAAUAUUUAGAAGAAAACUUGCUGUCAUGGGAGAAGCUCGAUCCAGGAAUAGCUCUUCAAGUUUGGUGAAAUUCUGCGGUCCUAAAGGAUUAAGAAAGGUGCGUUCUUAAUAUCAUUUGAGUUGAGAUUGAAGGAAGCGGAAACAUAAAGGGAUUGGGUUAUUAAAAAAAAAUUAUUAUGGGAAAUUAAAAUCAUUUCCGACAUAAAUUUCUAUUUUAUUGAUCCAUAUGUAUAACCAGCUUAUAAAAGGAAAAACGGAGAAAUUUUUGUUGAUAAAAUUACUAAAUAUCGUCAUAAACGUAAUGGUUUAAUAACAUGAAAAUUCUUUUAUUCUUUCAUGGGAAAUUUUUAGAUUCAUCAUUUGACACAUAUUUUUGCUAUCCGAAGAAAGGAGCUUGAGAUUUGAGUGGUUCAUAAAUGAUUCAACUACUUAACAAAACUGGGACUUGAUUGUAAGACACAUCCACCAGUUGUAAUAGAUGACAAGUUUCUCAAACAAGUUGUGAUGAGGGACACGUAUCUACAAGUUUAAACUCAGAAAGAAGUCUGAAUGUGUCAAAUAAUCUUUUAAUUACCUUGAGCAGGUCCGGUGCCAUGGAAGUCAGCUCUGGUCAAGGAUAAAACUUUAAGAGUAGACAAGGGUCCAAUGUUCCGAAGAAAGCUUGUUGGGAGAGAAGAAUAAUCGAGGAACAUUUCUUCAAGGCUAGUCGAAUUACACAAUCCUGUGGAACAGAUAAGAUAAAUCCAUUAAUGAAAGUGAUAUAUAAAUAUCAUGUUUUAGGCUCCAAACUGUAACUGACCUUUACCAGAGUGUAUUCCUUUAAAUUUGCUCCCAGUAGCAUAUAAGCUCUUGAGGGAUGGCAACGCUCCCAAUGACUCUAUCAAAAUGCUUUCCUUGAAGUCAAUUAUUUCCAGAUACAAGAUUUCUAAAUUCCUCAAACCUGUGAUGGAGAGCACAAUUAAUAAUAAUGGCUUUUUUAUUUUUUAUUUUUUAUUUUUUCCUGAUUCCAAGUGGUACAGAUAUGUGUGUUCUACAAUUUGUUUUAUUUAUGUGUUGUCAUCUGGAAUAAUUUGGAGCACUAUCGUAGAAUGAGCAGGGGUGCAUGCAGAGUAAUUGAUCUAGCAGUUUCCGGCUGCUGUGUUCUACAAAUUUUUGUUCUUGACUUUUUGUUUGCUCUAUCUAGUUGGAAGUUUUAGCUCAAAAUUGUUGAUAUAAAUAAUUUCUAAUGUUAAAGAUUAAUAUAUAAUUAUUAUUAGAAACUUACCCAACAAUUUAAGUCUUUGAAUUAAAUUAAUUUUAAUAUGAUAUUAGAAUUUUAAUAACCAAAUGUUUAUGAAUUUAAAUCAUCUCACCUCCAUUCCUUUAAUAUUUUUUAAAAAAUAAUCAGCACUAGCGAAAGGUAUACCAUGUAAGAAUCCAUAACUAUUUCACUUGAAAAAAUAUGUUAAAGGAAUUAAUUAUAUAAAAGCAUUUAUAGGGCUUCAUUCAUCUGCUUGAUGAUUAAUGCACAGCUAAUUAUUAAAAAAGUUAACAAAAUAAUAAAUUAAGCCUCUCUAAGGAAUGUCAUCGAGGUAGGAAUGAUUUACCAUUGAGACCAAUUGAUCCUGUAAACUUAUUUUUUGAUAGAUGUAGAGAUUUGAGAGUUGAAAAACCACCGAGAGAUGAUAAAAUACUAUCGUUAAAUUUAUUGUCACUCAGUUCAAGUUCCUGCAAUUCCCUCAACCCUGAUGCUAGCUCGUGAAAACCUAUAAGAAAAUUGUCAAAAGCAAAAAAAUUAACAAAUAUAUAUAUUUCAACCAUCCAUUAUCCAUAAAAGUUCAAUGAAAUAUAAAUUUAUGUAUUAAUUUUUUAUAUACCAAUUGUUCCUGUGAACCUAUUGUUUGAUAGAUGUAGAGAUUUGAGAGUUGAAAAACCACCGAGAGAUGAUAAAAUGUUGUCGUUAAAUUUAUUGUCACUCAGAUCAAGUUCUUCCAACUUUCUCAACCCUGAAGCUAGUACUUGAAAACCUGAAAGAAAAUUGUCAGAAUAAAAAAGAUUACACCUGAAAUUUAUUUUUCAUUGAACUUUUUUGGAUAUUGGGAUAUUGUAUGAUAUAUAUACCCCAAUAUCCAUAAAAGUUAAAUGUAAAGUUACUUGAAAUAUAACUUGAAGUGUUAACUAAAAACAAUUGAACCUUGAUUCUCUAAGACACCAUCUAAUCGGUUGUCGCUUAAGUGGAGAAUCUCCAAUUCUUUGAAAGGCAGAAACAAAGAUGCAUUGAGAUCCAAGUCUUCGAAUGGAAAAGAACUUACACCUGAAAGAUGAAGUUCGAUCACUCGGUUUGUGGUGCUGUCGCACACAACCCUACCCCAGUUACAGCAAUUAAAAUGCUCUUUAUCCCAACCUUUUGAUAGAGGUAGUAUAGAUAACCCAGCAGUUGCAUGACUGAACCAAGCUUUUAUCUCUAAGAGACUAAUUCUCUCUUCCUCUAAACAACAAUGGCACCGCUCGUUGACGAAGGCCAGUGCCAUGAGCAGCAUCCACACCCACAUUUGCCUCAUCUUCAUAUUGACUCUCCUACUUGACAAAAUACAAUAGCAAUCAAGUUGUCUCUUAUAUACAAUUUUGUCCUCUUCAUGCAUUUGAUCGGACAGUGACAGUUAUCUGUAUCAUUGAAUUAAUUAUCCAAGGUAGACUUGGGCUUAAUUGAAUGGGAGAGUCUUCACGGACAGUGCUAGCCGUGGGCCCGCACCACGGCACAGAUCAACGUGGUUGUUGAUAUAUAUUUUUUUGUUAUACUAUCUUAUUAUUUAAUUCUUUUUUGUUUUUAUGUUUUAUGUUUCCCUGAUCUACUAUUGCAUUUAGUACCUUAACAAUAUGCAUUCAUUGCCAUCUAGAAUUUCAUUCAAUAGAGCGAUUAAUCAAGAAACUUAUUAUUGACUUUCAUUUAAAUUAGAAUACAUGAAUAAUUUAUGAGUUUGAAAAAUGUUAUCCAUCCAUAUUAAUUACACAAAUUUUAAAAUAAAUUGCAAUUAAGUUUUUCCAAACAAAUAUCAUUACAUAAGGAAUACGUACGUACUCAAGACAUAGGAAGCCAAGUUUCCAAGAUAAUCCAUUAUUCAAUUUUGUGAAUGAUGAAACUUUUCAAGAUAAUCCUUAUAUAAUAAGGUUUGAUCAAUUUUUUCGAGAUUGUGUUAUCAUAAAUCACAUAUCGUUUAAGUUUCCAGCUUAUAAUAAUAAUUUACACGAAUUAUUGGUGAGAAAUCUCCAAAAUCAUUUUAAAAAAGACAAAUCUAUAUGUCUUAUAGUGCUAUCUCUUUUUUUGUGUUUUCAAAUGUUUUUGUAUUAUGUGUACAUUAUAUCAUCUCUCAUACACAAAAUAUGAGACAUAAUAUUUUAUUUUUAGGAAAAAUCUAAUAAUCCCAUAAAUGAUCAAAUAUCAAUUUGCUUUCCCUAAAUAAUAUCACAUAUAUUAUUUCAAAAUAGUUUUAGAAAUUUGUUCAAUCAAGUCUGUACUUAAUUUUUCUAGGUUUAUAAUUGUAAUCACGUGUAUCAACUUCACUUUAGUUCUUAAUUUCUAAAACUUAAUUACAAUCAAGUCACAUUUAAUUAAUCAUCUCAUUUUAAUUUUUGAUCAAUGAUUUUUAAUGUGUGUGGCCAAUUGAGUUCUUAACAAGUUGGCUCAAAUAUAAAUAACAAUCAUAAAUAAAAUACAAUUAAACAAUUUAACAAUUUAACUUAUCAUUAAUUUAACAAAUUAAUUAAUUAAUAUUUGAAAAUCAAGUGCAAUAUUUAAUAACAUGUCAUAACCCUCUAAAUAUUAAAAAGGUCAUACAUGUUUUGACUUAACUUUUUAUUGACUAGUUUCUCAAAGUAAUUAUUAUCCCUUUAUUAAGAAUAUUUUAAUUUAGAUAUUAGAGCACAAAGUAUAUAUGUUCUAUCAAAUCAAAUUUAUUAUCAACAUCAUAGUCAUAGAUUAUUUGAAUAAGAUUUGAAACUCUUUACAAAUCUUAUUACACCUUGCACAAUGAUUUCAUAGUCAAUACUAUUUGUCGCACGUGUAUGGCAUCGCGGCGAUCGUCCACCCUCAAGGAAAAAUGUAAUGGACUAUCUGGUAAAUGUGGAGAGACAAGGAAUUCUUGUCACUUAUCAAUGGAAAAUUUAAAUAGGAGUCGCCACCUAGUAUUCUAGUCACUAGGAACCCUAACUGGUCUUAGAGAUCGGAUACGGAGACUGGUUGCGUAAAGGGAAUGUAUUAGCACCCCAAAUACUCCCUACCUAAGGUAAGCUGCAUUGUUUUGUCUAAUAAAAUCUAAAGUCUUGUUGUGGUUUCUAAUUGUCGGUCCGUUUACAGUUUAAGAAAAGUCCUCUGUAAGGAGAUCCUUAUCUUAUCAGGUAAAACCUAAUUAUUUUAAGUUGUCAAAAGAAAAUACCUUUUUAAUAUCGGGAAUACAUUUUACGUAUAAAUUCAUAAUCUUUGAUACUAAAAUCAAACAAAAUAAAAAUUUUUUUUGUUUUUGAAAUUUUGGUCAAUGUUCUCUUCACUUUAAUAAACUGGUUAUUAAAGCCACAAUGCAUGCUAAAUUUUUUUUUUUUCUGGUGUAUGAAAAACACAAUAUGAUUUUUUUAGCUUUUGAGACACUUGUCCAUAUACACAAAAAGAUUUUUUCUUUUUCUCAAUUUUUUUUGUAUUUUGGAAGUUUUAACAAAAAUCGGGUAUUUUAAUAUCGAAUUUGUAUGUUUACGACGCAAAAUACUGACCGAUAUUAAGCAAAACAAAAGACAUAAAUCAAAAGGAGGAAAUCAGAAAAUAUUAAAAAUAUUUUUUUAAAAUGGGCCGGACCCAGCCCAGAUCAAUGGGCUGGGCCGGACCCAGCCCAGAUCAAUGGGCUGGGCCAGACCCGACCCAAAAAACUAAUGGGCUGGUUACUGUGUAUAAGCACAGUAACCAGCCCUUCACUCUUUCCUGCAGAACGUGAAUUAUUCAUGUUUUGCAUGCAAAUACAGGCAGGGACAAGAAGAGGAAAAUGAAUGAGGCAGCAGGAGGUUACCUAGGGUGGCGUCGAGGCGGUGUUGCUGGCAGCGGCAGUGCUACUAUCGUAGUGGUAGUGUUGGUGGCCGGCGGUGCUUCUCCUUUUUCUUCCUCUCCCUCCUUUGUUUUUUUUUUAUUAUUAUUUCUUUUUCUUUCCUUUUCUCCUCCUCUUUUCUGCUAUGUCUUGUCUCAUCUCUUCUCUUCUCUCUUAUGUUCCUCUAUUUUAUUUUUUUCUUCCCUCCCCUCUGUUUUUUGUUCUUUUUUCGGGUCUGUUUUUCUUCUUCUCUUUCUCUCUUCUUCCUUCUUUUUCUCUGCUCUUUUCAGUCCUCUUGCCUAUCUGCUCUCUUGUCUCUCUUUCUCUCUCUCAGUUUCCCCACCUUUCAUCAUGCUCUCCCCCUCUGUAUUUAUAGGUGAAAACAAAGGGGGGGGGGAGAGGUCGAGGUGGCCACUGUGUUGCCACCCCAAACCGCCCAAGGGGUACGUCCCCUCCAUUCUUCCACCACGUGGCAAGCAAAUGGGUUGUAUCGGCAUCUUUUUUAGCUUUAAGAGAGAGAGGGAGCUAGUGAAAACAGGGGAAUAAAACCUUCUUCUUCCCCUAAUUUCUACACAUCGAAGGGAAGAAAGGUUGUAUCGUUCAAAAAGGCACCAUUUUGGGCUUUCUCUCUUUCUUUGUUUUUAUGAACAGUAUAUGAAACGACGCUGUUUUGGUCAAAAUGCGUCAUUUUAUUUAAAUGGAUUUUGGUGCCAAAACGUGUCAAAUUCAAAAUCAGGCCUUCAAUUUGCAUGUGUUUUACAAUUUAGUCCUUGGUCUCGGAUUUCUUCAAUUAAGUCCCUAAUUGGCCAUCAAACUUCAAUAUUUAUGCAAUUAAGCCCCUAAUUUGACCAAAUUAAAUCUUAAAAAUUAUAUUUUGACCCCAAAACUUUAAUUUAUUUCAAUCAAGCCAAAUUAACUCCAAAAUUAAUUUUUCUUGCAAUCAAAACCUCCAUAAAUUCAAUUAAACCUUUAAGAAAAUUUAAUUGAGUCCAUAAACCUCUGAUUUUGGUCUUUUCUUUCUCAAAUUAAAUUUUCUUUGUCAACAGGGCUAUCAUCAGUCAACAAAAUAUUGUCAAAUUUUAAUUUUUGUAUUUUUAAACCUUCUCAACCAAUUUUUAACCCUUUUUUAGUGUUGCUGAAGACUGUGAAGAUGAUGGUCAACGCCGGUUCUCGUCUCUACGCUUUCAUCCGAUGGGCUGAGUUUGCGUCUCCUUUGCUCCUGGUUUGAGAUUCUGUCAACUUCAGUUCUGAGAUGAAGGGACAAAGAAGAUGGUGGGGCUGCUCCUUGUCUUUGCGUCGUUUCUCUGCUUUUAUUUUUCUCAGUUUUUUCGUUCCUCGGUUCUGCUUCCCCCCUCCUCUUCUUUCAUUCCCUGGCUUCUUAUAGAGCCAGAGAACGUGGUAAUCAGGGUGAGCCACGUUCCCACGAUAUGCAGUUACAGAUGUCCUGCUGAAACGGUCUUGAGCGACGAAGAAGGUGGAGCGUUUGAACUGGAAAUGGCAACUUUCGUUUUGGACCUUGAAUUUUAGAAAGUUUUGUAAUUAAGUCCCUAGUUAAAUUGUAAUUGGACCCCUGCAGUUUGGCAUCUUUUACAAGUUAGUCCUUGGAUUUUAAUCUGUUUGCAAUUGUGCCCCCAAUUAACCCCAAACUUUGCUAUUUUUCCAAUUAAGUCCUUGAUUUCAUUAAUUAAAUUAAAUCCAAGUCCAAUUAAGUCUUAAACUUAUCAACUCUCCAAUUAAACCCUUUGAUUUGAUAAAGUAAAUUAAUUCCAAACUCAAUUAAGUCUCAAAACUUAUUAAUUCUCCAAUUAAACCCUUGAUUUAAAUAAUUAAACUAGUCAAGAAUUUAAUUAAAUCUUUAAACUUCCAAUCAUGUUGCUCCUAACCCAAAUUUUAAUUCAUUCUUUAUUUAUUAAAAUUUUUACUUGUUUUUCAUUUUAGUAAAUAAAAUAAUUAAAAUAAAAGGUAAAAAAUUGGGUUAUGAUAAUUAUUUUUAUCAGAUUUUAUAUAUGAUGCAUCAAGUUUUUUAAUGUUAAUUGAAAAAAAAAUUAGGAUUACAUCCUAGUCGUAGAUAUGAUUAUUAUUCAUUUAAUGUUAAUAGAAACAUAUAUAUAUAUAUAUAUAUAUAUAUAUAGCAAAAGCAAAAGGUUUGAAUUGGUGGUUAAAAACAAAUAUUUUUUUAUUUUGCGGUUCCACCAGAUGCACCAAGUAAAUUAUUGUGAGGGUGCUCCCCUUCAGUAAAACUUUUUUUAAAAAUAAUUUAGUUUCGGUUGACUCACAAAAUUGAGACAUCUAGCUCAUGACUCAUGGCUUUGGCUUUAGACGUAGCUGUAACUUCGCUUACUAUGCUUAUUAUGCAAAGCAAUUAUUUUCAAGCUUCUGGAACGGGGCGUUCCUGCAUCUUCUUUUAUGGCAGAAGAGAUUAGAAAAUGACUUCUAUUGUCAAUAAUUUCUUCUUCCUUGUGAAAUGAUUUCCCGAUACAGCUCUUAAUUUCAACACCUGCUUGCUCUUCUUCUUUUCUUAGUAGACCUGGGAAGUCAAGUUUCCUAAUUAUCCACAUCAUCAAUCUCGAUCCCAUCAAAAAUGAAUUUGGUGGAAGAAAGAAAAAAAAUAAAAAAAUAUCAAUUAUUUUCAAGCUUGUGGAACGGGGUGUUCUUCCAUUUUCUUGUUUUAACUGUUUUCUUCGUAGACUUGGGAAGUCAUGUGUUAUGAACAAUUGAUUUGAUCUUGAAAAUGACUUCUUUCAAUAAUUUCUUCUUCCUUGUGAAAUAAUUUCCCGAUACAGCUCUUAAUUUCAACACCUGCUUGCUCUUCUUUUCUUAGGAGACCUGGGAAGUCAAGAUUCCAAAAUAUCCACAUCAUCAAUCUCGACCCCAUCAACAAUAGUGCCCAGCAGGAAAAAUUAGUUUCUGACGGUGAGAUGAUGCCAAAAUUGUAGUCAAAGAGACUUGGAACUCCCUGAUGAUGGUCUCUAGCUCUGGAGGUUUAUUCUGCCAAAAUUGCAUGGGCCGUUUUACAGCCUUCGUAAUGGGCUUGGCUACUUUGGGUAAUUAAAAAAACCCAAAUCGAUAAUGUUUUUUUUUUUUUCCUUUGGUAUCCGUUUAAUCAAUCUUCUGGUUUGAUCCUUGAUAGUGCUGUGUUUUGAUGCUUGUCGAUUAGCCACAAUAAUGUUAAAUUUACAAGGACAGAUCCAAGAAAAGCAAUGCAGGCCUGUAUUGGUCUCUGGGAGUCCCCUGAUAAAGGCUGCAAUCAUUGCUUGAACCCUUGUAAAGGGGCCUUUACACAUGAGGUCCACUGAAGAAGUACAACACCGUUUUUUUAUUUAAUUCUUAUGGUUUAAAUCUACUAAUAACUUAGUCAUUUUGCAUGCUAUUUUUCCACUUGUUUUGUAAAAUAGAGAAAAGAACAAAGUAAAUCUUUUUUUUUAGUUUAUGGCAUGUUCUCAAAAGUUUUAUUGAUAUUAAUUAAAUAAAAAAGACAUUGAUAUAGCUGAAAAUUGAGAACGAGAGGGAUGAUCAGGAAUGGAUUAAGCAAAAUGGGCUUGAAAAAGACCCAACAGCAGAGAAAAAUCUGAAAUAAACUCUUGAUGUUCAAAAUAGCCCACAAGCAAGGAAAAUUACCAAAAUAGGUAAAUACUGAUUAUUCAAUAAAUAAAGAAACUUCCUAGAAUAAGUGUGACAUCCUUUAAUGUUUUUACCUUUUAGAACAGUUUAUCCAGGUCGAUUCCACUUUGCUUCAACCGACCACAAUGAUCCCAUAUCCAUCUAUACAAAAAUCAAUUAAGCGGUCCAUUGACACAUUAACUUCUCUGGCUCCAUUCCGUCCUGGAUUAGCAAUCUUUCAACAUUGAGUGUUCUUCUUCUAAAAGCUACCUGAUCUUGUCAACCUAUGACAGAUCUAAAGACUUGAGAGCGGAAAGCCCAUUAAAACAUGAUAAAAUGCUUUUAUCAUUAUUAAAUCGGUUCCCACUUAGGUCAAGUACCUCCAGUUUUGAUGGUAGGACUUCGAAGCCUGGAAGAGAAACAUCAAAGCAAGAUAAUUGACAUUAAACACCGACCUUGAUUCUCAAAAUAAUAUAAAUUUAUUCUAUGAUUAUAAGAACAGAAAGAUUGAACCGACCAUGAUUCUCAAAGCAACCAACUAAUCCAUUACCGAUCAAAUCAAGACUUUGCAAUUCGUUAAAAGGCAGAAACAAAGAUGCGUUGAGAACCCAAUCCCCCAAACUCUCAUCCCUUGCACCAAUAAGAGAGAGUCGGAUCACUCGCCUUUGAGUGUUAUCACACUUGAUCCCAUACCACUCACAACAAUUACUACUGUACUCCGCCCAAUCUCUCAUGUAAAUGCUGUUUGGAUUGAUCAAAGGUUUGAUCUCCAUGAGACCAAUUCUCUCUUCCUCCAAACACCCAUAAGAACGACCACACCAUUUCGCCAUCCAAAGUCAAUAAUGUGACCAAAAUCCAAACCCACAAUAUCUUUUUCACCACCAUCUUAUAUUGUUCUAUAAACCACUACGUAGAAUUUUGUUGUUUGUUAUGUGAGUUUGGGCAACCCACAUUUGGUCCCAUUUAAAACACACUUUGGCCAUUUCCAUGAUUUUAUCUGCGUAUCCUGUGCAGGUUCCAUGAUUUUAUCGGGGAGUCAAUUUAAGUUAUUUUCCUGCCACUUUCUCAGCAGUUAUUCUCGUAGAGUCCUAUUUUGUGUUAAACGUUGGGUGCGUAUAAAGUAGUCAAAAGUAGGAUAUCCCGCUUUCUCCAUUGCUGUUCUGCAACAAUAUUUUGGUAGCCUUAUAGCACUCACUACUGGAGAAAUUGAGCUAAAGCAUAAAAUGUCAUGUACGCGGAUGCUUGACUUGCGGUGUGCCAUCUUGACUCUUAAACACCACCGAGCAGUAAUUUCAUGGUGAUUUCCUUAUUAAUACUGGUGGUCUUCCAGAAUCUUUAUCCAAACAACCCUUGCUAGACCGGGAUCGGGGUUGAUCAGGGAUAAGACUCGUGUCAUGACUUUUGAUGAGAUCACUAGGGCUCUGUUUGUUUGCAGGAAAGUGAAUUCCUUUUGGAAAGUGAAUUCCGGGGAAAGUGAAUUCCUGGAAAGUGAAUUCCGGGAAAGUAUUUUCCGAUGUUUGGUAGUGUUAUGGAAAAUGAACUGGAAAACACUUUCCAGUGUUUGGUUGUAUUAUGGAAAAUGAACUGGAAAAUAAUUUAUUAAUGAAUUAAUUUUUUUUUUAAAUUUAUCUAAUAUAUAUAUAAAAUAUCUAAUAUAAAAUAUUUAAUCACUUACAAUAAAAAAAAAUGAAAUCUAAAAUGUAUAAUGAUGAAUUUUUUUUAUUAUAUUCUAUAUUCAUACAUAGCUUAUUUUAUAAAAUAUAACUAUAUAUAUCAUAUCAUAUUAUAGAGAAAUAAGCUUGUGAAAUGUUUUUUACUAUUCCAUGAAACUAUUUAUAAUUCCAUUACGUACGAAAUAUAUCUGACAAAAAUUAUAGUUUUAAUAAUAUUUUUAGCAUGUAACAAAAUUGGAUAAAAUAUUAAGGUUUAAAAUUUACUCUAAACUAUUUUUUUUUAAUGUUAAAAAAAAUAGCACACUUAAAAAAAAAAAAAAAAGAAUCCUACAGGCAAGUGAACAGUGCAAGAGAACUGCACUGUUCACUAUUUUUCCAGUAAACAGUGUACGCAAUACACUGUUCAUGUUAAUUGCACUAUUCAUUGAACAGUGCAAUUAACAUGAACAGUUAAGAAAAAAUGGCUGCUUUUCACCGCUGGCCACUGUCGGAAAGUGUUUUCCUUUCUUUAACAAAAGAAAACACUUUCCUUUGGCAACACUGAUUUAUUUUCCAUUGACUGAAUUCAUUUUCCAUUGACUUUUUUUCUUGUUGUUGCCAAACACUGGAAAAGCAGGAAAGUGAAUUCCAGGAAUUCACUUUCCUGCAAUCAAACACGGCCUAGAUUAACUUUCAUUUUUUGCUAAUUUGGUUGAAGAAAGAAAUAUUUAGCCUGAUUUACUUCCAUAUUCAUUUUCUUUUUAAUACAUACAUGCUUGUAACAAGACAGGAUAAAAGCCAUGUAAACAAGGUAAUUAAAAAAUGUCUUCCGGCAAGUUUGUUUGUUUUUCCCCUUUAUUAUGAUAUAUAUACACGAAAGAAGAAAAUGCAUUGAUUAAAAUGCAUAGACCACCGUGUGGGCCAAUAAAAUGAAAACAAAAGACAAUAUCAAUGGUUUGCAAAAAAAGAAAAAAGAAAGUUUUCUGUUAAAUUUAUCUUUAUGUUAAUUACUUGAUUAACUAAACUUAAUCAUGUAAUAUUGAAUUAUUUGAUGAAAAACUUAUUUAAAACAGUAUUAAUUGACAUAUUUUAAAGUAAAAUAAAAAACAAACCCCGCUUACUUGCUUAUUUUUAAUGUGAAAAAUUAUUUUUUAACAUAAAUUCUUUAACAUAUUAACAUAAAAAAGUUCAAUAUAAUUAAAAUAAAUUGUGAUUAACAUGCUUUCUGAACCAAGCUUUUAUAUCUAAGAGACUAAUUCUCUCUUCCUCCAAACCACAAUGGCAAAUUGUGCCAUGAGCAGCCCUUUUGUCUUCUGGGCUGGAACAUCAGCCCAGCCCACGCGGAUGGGCUGAGUCCAGCCUUGUAGCUGGACCAAUACAGGCCCAGCCCACAUGAUUGGGUCGGGUCUGGCCCAGUUCAAUUUAAUGUUGGAACAUCAGCCCAGCCCAUGUGGGUGGGCUGAGUCCAGCCUUGUAGCUGGGUUAAUACAGGCCCAGCCCCCACAAUCAGCCCAGUUCAUUUCUUUUUUAAAAAAAAAAAAAAAAUUAUUUUCAAAGAAAUUGCAAUUUCCCCGUGUAUUUAUUUUACGUCAUUUUGAUUAAUAUUGGUCUGUAUUUUUAUAUCAUAAAGAUAUAAAUUCGGUAUUAAAAUAACCGGUUUUCAAAAAAAAAUAUUUUUGUUUUCAUACAUACGGCCUAGUUUCUCAAGGCUAAAAAUAAAUAAAAUCAUAUUGUAUCUUCAUACAACAAAGAAAACUUCAAUAUAUAUAUAUAUAUAUAUAUAUAUAUAUAUAUAUAUAUAUAUAUAUAUGUGAACAUGUGUUUUGGCUUUAAUAACCAGUUUAUUAAAGUUACGAGAACUCGGCCAAUAUUUCAAAAAAAUCAAAAAAUAUAUUUUGUUUUGUUUUAUUGUCUGGGAUUAUGAAUUUAUAUAUAAAACGUAUUCCUAAUAUUAAAAUGGUAGUUCUUUUAUAGACAUUAGAACAGUUAUGUUUUACCCCCAUAAGAUAAAAACCUCUUUACUGAGAAUGACUUUUCUUGAACCAUAGACGGACCAACAUGAUAAGACCUUAUAUUUUUUAUCAGACAGUGAAACAAUGCAACUUACCUCAGAUAGAGCGUAUUUGGGGUGUUAAUACCUUCUCUUUACGCAACCAGUCUCCGUAUCCAAUCUUUGAGACCAGUUAGGGUUUCUAGUGACUAGAAUACUAGGUGGCGACUCUCCUUCUAUUUUUUCACUGCUAAGACACAAAAAAUUCCUUGUCUCCCCAUUUUUGCUGGAAUAGAUACAAUUGCACCUAAUGAGGAGAAGUGGUGGGCGAUCAUCGCGACGCCGUACACAUGCAACACAUGUAAAACGGUUUCUAUAUAUAUAAAAGGAAGAAAGAAGAAAAUGCAUUAAAUAAAACAUGGAUAUCUUUGAAUGAAGAAAUUUAGGACACCGCUGACGUAUAUAGACAAAGUAUGCCAAGAACGAGGGGGGGCAAAAACAUUAUCAAUGGCUUGAAAGAACAAGACAAAAUAAAAUCAUUAGUUUUGAGCUUCAGAAGACAAUUUUAGCCAUUUAAUUUUGUCUUCAACUCGUUACAAAAAGCCUUGUCAUUUGAGAUUUCAUGCUUGUAAUGUUUCUGUUUUCAAUUAGUAUUACGCUUCCAUCUGUCAGAAUACUGUUGAACUUGACAAGAACUUUGAGCAAAUUCCAAUUUGAUUUUUGUAGCGAAUUAUAUCACUUAAUUGUUUGCUUAGGCUUAUUUUUAAUGUUCAAUGAAGUUUCACCAAUCAGUCAUCAAAUUCUGUAAAUGUUGCAGAUGAUUGCUAGGAAUAAAUCACAGUCAUUAAAUUUCUUCAUUUUGGUCCUUAAAUUUGUUUGCUAUGCUGUAGUUCUUUAUUUUUCGUGGAUAAAUUAUUUGGUACAGAGUUCUAAUUAAUAGCCAAAAAAGAAAAUAGCUCUGAAGAUAUCAGAACAACUGAAAAGAGAAGCAAAUAAUUGAUAAGGUGGGAGAAAAGAAUAGCAAAAUGCAUAGGCAAAUUUCUACAGUAUCAACUGACAAUGUGGAAGAAGAGAAUAUCAACCUGAUAGAUCAUAUAUGCGAGGCUUAUGUGGUUUACGAACACCUGAUUUGCAGAAGCUGGGGAUAAUGUUGAAACUCAAAUACACUCCUAUACAAUGAAAGGUUUUCUUGAAAACUAUCAUAAUUAAAGCAUAAAUUCAAUGAAAACUAAAUUUGCUGGAGGGGUUUCACAGAUUUUGACCAGAUUGAAUUUCACGAGGCGUCUAGCGUGAAUGAAUUAGGGUUUUCUUCUAGCCUUGAAAUUAUAGAGGAAUAGAGAAAAACAAAAACUCAUAUUUUUCUGAAAAGUCUAUAAUUCAAUAAUCUAAUCUUAAAACAAUACUUCAAUUGUUGAAAUAAAAGUUUUAAACCGAUCUAAUUAAAAGAAUUUAAGAUUAAGUGUGAAAAAUAUAAAAAAUACAAAAUUAUUUAGGAAAAUAAUUAAAAUAGCAAAAAUAGAAUCUUUUGACCUAACUUUGAAAAGAUCCUGUGGUGAUGGAGUCUAUAAAAUUAUCUAAUAAAAUUUAAGUAUAAUAUAAUAAUUAAAAUUAUAAUUAUAAUUAAAGCAUAAAAUGUCGUGUACGCCGAUGCUUGACUUGCGGUUUUCCAUUUUGAUUUUUAAAUACCAGAAAACGGUAAUUUCCUUAUAGAAACUGGUGGUCUCCUCGCGACCUUUUUUCUCAAAUAACUGUUGUUAGAGCAUGAUUGAAGUUAGGAUUUAACCCGUGUCAGAAACUUAAUGACUCUCCUCACUAACAGUAAUUUAUUAAAUAUUUUUAAUAUACUUAGUUCAUGUGAGGUUGUGUUUUCAAAAUCUUCCGAGAAAAAAGGACUAAAUGAUGACACACACGACAUUAAUGCAAAAAUAAAAGAUAGCACUACUGGCCAAAUUAAAUUUCACGAGAUGUAUAAAUUCAAACUAGGAUUUUCCAGCCUUUAAUACUCUAUGGAGAAAAAAACUCUAAUAUUUUUAUAAAAAGCUUAUAAUUUAAUAAUCCAAUCUUAAAACAAUAUUUCAAUUGUUGAUAUAAAAAAUUAAAACUGAUCUAAGAAAACUAAGUGGAAAAAAUAAUAAAAUAUAUUAUUUUCAGAAUAUAUUAACAAUUUAUUUCUUGAACAUGAAUACCAAGAAUAGACAGAGAGACACAGAGGAAUCAUUCACAUUUGCACUUGAAAGAAGCCAACUGUAUGCAAAGAGGGCCAAGAAGAACAAAUGAAUUAGUUUGCUGAAACAGACAAUACAAACAAAAGGAGAAGAAUGAGAAAUCAGAUGGGCAGUGUGAUGGUAUUUUCAGAACUAUGGUUGUGCCUUUUGGAAGAGAAUGUGCUUCUUCUCUGACCAUUGUGUACAAUUAUGGUCGUUGUUUCAUCAAAAUCAGAGGGCUGAUUCUGCCUUCUCCUUUACAGCUUCCAAAAGAAAAGGUGAGAAUGGGCUAUUCUUGCUUUUGAUAUUUGAAAUCAUAACAUGCUCCACUGAUUGACUUUUGGUGUAACAUUUUGAUCCUUAAACUUCACUUGGCCGUAAUUUCCUGAUGAUUUCUUUAUGGGAAACAGGUUGUCUUCUCGCAAUCCUUUUCCAAACAACCCCUGUUAGAGCAUCAUUAAAGUUUUGAUUUGUACCAUCAUCAAAAAAUGACUGUCAUCAUCAUCACAACGUACUUCCAUUUCAAUUAAUUCUUUAUAUUAUAACGCAGCAGAACAUAAAAUAAUGGGUGAAGAUAUUUUAGCUGAUAAUGGGUGAAGGGAUAUUUUUUUUCUAAUUGAAAACGACUUGUCAGCUUUAGAAAAUGCAUGCAGGGCCCAGUUUAAUUUCAAUUUCUCAUACUCUCGUUAAUGCAAGUUUGGACAGCUUGGGGAUGUGUCGUCCAUCCGGUUUCCUUUUUUGAUCGGGAGUCAAUGGGAUUAGUAAUUGACACUUCAUCAUCAAAUCAAAAUUAAAAAUGUUAAUGAACUCACAAUUAAUUGCCAUUAAGCUCCAUUGAGUGUAAACAAUGAAUUUAUAAAAUAGUCAAAAGUGGGAUGUCGUGAUUUCAACAAUGCCGUUUCAGAAAAUUGAUAGUCAUGAUGAAAAGAAGAAGACAGAAUUGUUGAGUUGAAACGUGAACGUCGUGUUCUCCUGAUCAAUUGUAUAGUGAAGAUGGUGGAACUGAUGCGGGUGCAUAGCACCAACCAUUACUUCCCUAAUGAUUUCCUUGCGGAAGAAAUUAUUACAUUUUUAAAGUUAAAAGUGCUAAAGCACAAUUCAAAGAAAAUAAGCAGUACUAAACUUAACAAGCUAGUUCAAUGGAGGAGAAUGGUGUGCUGAAACACUAUGAUUUUCAAAAAAAUUGAAGCAUAUCAGAUCCAUGCUGCUGCAUUCGCAAGAAACGAGCACCCAUCAACAAUGUGCUAAAUGUCAAUGCAGAGCUUUAAAUCAUCUACAGAGGCUCAUGAAGAAAAUAGGCAUAAAUGAUAACAGAUAACACACCAGAGCACUCUACGUAAACUGAUAUCUUUAGAAAAUUCAAAGGCAUGAAUGAAAAAGAAAAGCUAGAAAUAUCUAAGUCAGCUCUUAAUUUGUAACAGUCCACAACUUCAUGUUUGGUGUGUACUGUAAACUAUGCUCUCCACAUAAUCAUGAGCUUCAUCUGCAAAAAACCAUUUUCACUUCUUGGGACAAGGGAUCAAAAAAAUACAAACCUGUUGUUGGAUUACAUUCAUAAUUUAUAUCAAGCACUAGAUGCUGCUCGAAGGAAGUCCUUCAAGGAAAAAAAUCAGGAACAAAAAUGCUGAGAGGUCCAUCUUGGAGGUCAGAAAGCUGGAGUUCUACUAGAAGAAGAUACCUCUGGAGAGAGAAAUAAAGGAAGCCUGAACUGCUUAGAGUUUUCUUACCGAAGCUUCAAGUUAAGAUCAUUUUCAUUUCAAUUUGGAUGUAGAAAUAAUGAUGGGAUGUGAAAAUUAUAUUUUCAUUUCAGAGAGCUGGUUGAUUAUAUUUUGAAAAAGGGUAUAUAUGAAAGUUAAAUCCUCUGUUCAAAUGAACAAAGGGAUCAACUUGAGCAAGAGUCAACAAGCUAUCCUUCGAGGUCAAUGGAACAUACCACUCAUAUUAAUCUUCUACUAUUUAGGGGAAUUCAUACAUCCACUCAUCUUAAGCUGGAAAACUUAUGGAAAGCAUUCGCAAUUGUUUCCAAUGUAUCGACUGUAAUCAAUCAAUAGAUCAUCAACUAUUGUCCUCAUUGAAAGUUUCCUGCUCCCUAUAUAGAGAAUGUCUGAUUAAUUUCAUUAAAUAUGCAUGAUUCCACUGUAUGUUAGCUAACCAAAAGAGCCUACAGGCCAAAUAAACAACAGGAAUAAGAGAAACUACUUCCAACGCCAUCAUUUCUCCUUUCUAGUAUCAUCUUUUGUUUAAUGUUUAAUGCUCGUAGCCUCUGAGCACUCCAAACUAAUUUUUAAAAUAAAAUAUCAAGAGAUGGCAGAAAAUGAAUGUGCUCAUCAACUAUUUUCCUCAUUGAAAGUAUACUGUGGUAUUUUAAAUUGCUCCAGUUUUUAAAAAAUAGAAGGCCACAGGCCAAAGAAACAACAGGGAUAAGAGAAACCGUUUUUUAUUUGAGAAAAUACGAUACUGCAAACUAUUUCUUAUGAAUAAAUCCCGUAUUACAAGAAGCCAAGAAUUGGUUGGUUGCUCAGCACAACAUAACUCAACAUAACUGAUACAAACAAUUACUGAUACAAGCACAAGGACAAACACAAGUCACAUCAAAAUAGAAAGGCUAAGCAACAAGAACACUUCUCACAGGCAAAUUGCUAAACAUGCAGUGAGCAACCAUUGAUUUGGAAUGCGACUGCUUCUCCACAGAGGAUUGCAACAAAUUCAGAAAGCAGCCCACACGCUCCUGAUAAGAUCCAAUCACCUUCUGAAUCUGGACAACUUGGGAAAGUUAAUUGCCAAAAAGCAGCAGCAAGUGUCAAUGCAUUCUUCAAUGAAGUAAAACCACCUGCGACGCCAAUGCGGAUUUAUGCACAGUACUGCUGCAAUUGUCAACACCACAGUUAUGUAAAACACACCAAAGCUGGCAUAGAAACUGUCCAUGUCUAUGAAGCCACCAUCUCCAUUGAAAUCAUUAGGCACUCUCGCGGAUGGUGAUUCUGUUUUGUCGCAACUAUUUUGCAAUGGAGGUCCACAAAGAAGAGGAUUCCCUUUAUAACUGCUUUCAUCAAAGGUACCAAAUUGAUUUUUCAUCUCCGGUGUUCUUCCUGACAAAUUAUUGUACGACACGUUAAAAACUGCUAGAAAGGUCAGUUCAACGAGUUGUGCAGGAAUUCUCCCAUUCAAAUUGUUGUGAGAAAGAUCCAAGCUCUCUAGCUGCUUCAGAUUGAAGAAGGAUGAAGGGAUCAAUCCAGUGAGAUUAUUUUGUGACAGAUUUAGAGAAUGUAUCCCACUUAAGUUUCCCCAUUCUAUCGGGAUUUCUCCAGUGAAUCUGUUACAAGAAAGAUCCAAAGCAGACAUGUAACGAAGGAUUUCGCCUUCAUAAGUGUAGAAGUUUUUCUUUGUUGUAAGCUCUACAGUUAUUUUUACACUGAUCUCUGGCCACAAAAUUUUAUCAUGAAGAUAACCUUCGUUCUCCAAUUCUCUCCCCCAUGUGGAUGCAAAUAUUUCUUCAUCUAGUGAGUACUUCACACUAGUGUCAAGCACAGUUAUUUCUUCAUCUUGUGACUCCAUACUAGUGUCAACCAAAGUUUCUUCAUCUAAUGCCAUAAAAUUUAAAUUGCUCAAACAUGAGGGUAACGGACCAGAAAAGUUAUUUUCUGAAAGAUCCAAUAUGUUUAAUUUCCUUAACAAGCAUAACUGAUGAGGUAGUUUCCCAUUGAAUUGAUUAGAUUUGAGAACAAAAAUGCUCAAUUCCGAAAGGCUAUAAAUCCAAUUUGGAAUGGGCCCAGUUAAGUUGUUAUCGCCGAGAUCUAAUGUCACCAACGAAGAGAGAUUACAAAAAGCAUAUGGCAGUGGACCGCUCAAUUGAUUUCUAUAAAGGUGGACAUAGUGUAAAUCUGAUGCAAGGAAGCCCAACGACAAAGACAAAGACCCAGACAGAUUGUUUUCAGAAAGAUCUAAAAAUUCAAGCCCAGAAGAAUUGAAAUAUUCUAUUGGAAUGGUACCUUCAAAAUGAUUUCUGGACAAAUCAAUUCCAUCAAGUUCGUUUAGUGAAGAGUUCCCAAUUCCCCUUGGAAGCAUGCCUGACAAAAGAUUGUUACUGAUAACAAACCACGAAAAUGAUGAUGCAAGAGAAAAGGUAUCAGAUACUUGUCCUGCAAAUUUGUUUCCAUCUAGAAAGAGGUAAAGUAGAUCAGUCAUGUUGAACACAGAUGGUGGUAAUCGCCCAUUGAAGUUGUUGUUGGACAACUUCAAAAACCACAACGAGGAGCCUACUGUUGGCAAAUUAUGCUCAAGCAGUUCACAAGACAUAUGAUUGUUGGAAAGAUCCAAGUAUCCGAGAGAGCUCAUAUUCCCAAAACAAGGAGGAAUGCAACCUGUGAGGCUAUUGUUAGCCAUCAAGAAGUUCUUUAACCGUGGAAAAAUUGAACAUAUGUUCCUUGCAAUUUGACCAUGUAUGGUGUUGCCAGACAUAUCUAUUGUAUGAAGAUUGGGUGUUGGAUGUUGUGGCAGCUGCAAAGGACCUAUAAAUGAGGUGUCUCUCAAAUAUAGUCGAUUUAACUUUGUAUUAUUCUCAAACAGCCAAGACGGGAAAGGUUCUCCAAUGAAUUUGUUGUGGGAUAGAUCAACAAACACCAAAUCAUGUUGGCUAUGCAGGAAGUUUGGAAAUCUAGCUUUGAGUGGUUUUGAAGUACAGUUUGCAGCACUGAAGUAAAGAAGCUGUAACUUGGGAGCUGAAGGCUGAAAACUGGGUGCAGCUAUUAGCUCAUUGUUAUCGCAUACAAUGAACUUGAGGUUGGAGAGGUUCAUAAAUGAACCAAAUGAUAUUGGAACUUGAAAGUAGUUAUUUGAAACUUUGAGGUAUCUGAGCUGCGUAAGAUGGGAAAGGUGACUAGAGGCAAUAUUCCCCUUCAAUUGGUUGUCAGAUAAAUCCAAGAUUUGUAGAGAUGAUAGAUUUCCCAAACAAUGAGGGAGUGAGCCCUUUAGAUUGUUUCCUGAGAUAAGUAGUUGUUCAAGAUUCUUCAGAUUCUUCAGUUCACACCAGCCUGUAGAAUAUAUUAAUAUAUUCAUGUUAAGGGAAUAAUAAUAUAUCAAUUAUGCAAGUGCUUAGUGAGGUUUUAAAGUUUUAGUUGAUUUUUGUUUCAAUAGCUAGGUCAGUUCUAGAUUAUAUUUAAACAACUUUGUUUGUUAGUUUUUUUAGAGAUUAAUUAUCUAGAUUAUUGAUAUUCAAAAUUUUUUUAAUUCAAAUUUUUUUCUAUAAUUUAAGACUGGGAAGUUUUAGAGAUUAAGAAACUCUAGAUUUUUGGUCAAGAAGGAUAGAGUGGAAGUAUCCAUUUUGUGUAUUGUAAUAUAAUCAUCUGUUAAAUAGAAGGAAAACAGAGAAAUAAAUGAGAGGAGAAUGAUUUUGUUAUUUCUUGUGUGCGUAAUCCUCCUACCAUUAUAUAUAUACUUCCCCACAUGCAUUACACGAUUUAUUAUAUUGUUAACUAACUCUACCCGACUCUUAACAACUUCUAACACGUGUCCAUGCAUCUGCUAGUUACCCUAAAUUUAAGACUGAGAAAUUUUAGAUUGAGAAACUCUAGAUUUUAUCCUUUUCUAUAUGUAACAUUAGGAGUAAACUUCUAACAUAUCACCUCCAUUCCUUUAAUAAAAUUUUAAAAAUUGAACAAAAGUUAAUGGUUAAUACACAUCUAUUUAUUAGACAAGUUCACUAAAAAAUAAAUUAAGCCUCACUAAGGAAUGCCAUUCAAGAUAGGAAUGAUUUACAACUUUAUCAUUAAUACUAGUUGAUCCUGUCAACAUGUUUUUGAUAAAUAUAGAGAUUUGAGAGUUGAAAACCCACUUAAAGAUGAUAAAACACUGUCAUUAAAUUUACUGUAACUCAGAUCAAGUUCUUUCAAAUUCCUCAACCCUCAAGCUAAUACUUGAAAACAUGAAAGAAAAUUAUGGGAAACAAAGAAAUUAACAGAUAUAUACAGAUUUAUAUAUCAAUCAUCCCAAUAUCCAUAAAGAUUCAAUGUAAAGUUACUUGAAAUAUAAUUAACUUUAUGUGUUAACUAAAAGAAAAUUGAAAGCAUAGAACCUUGGUUCUUGAAGCCACCAACUAAUUGGUUGAAGCUUAAGUCGAGAAUCUCCAGUUCUUUGAAAGGCAGAAACAAAGACGCAUUGAGAUACAAGUACUCUUCGACUGCAUUGAGACCCAAGUCCUCAUAAUUUACACCUGAAAGAUGUAGUUCGAUCACUCGGUUUGUGGUGUUGUCACACACAACCCUAUGCGGAUCCCAGUCACAGCAAUUAAAAUACUCUUUAUCCCAACCUUCUAGCUGAUCAUAGGACCCAGCUGCACGUGCAUGAUUGAACCAAGCUUUUAUCUCUAAGAGACUAACUCUCUCUUCCUCCACACAACAAUGGCUCCGGUCGUUGACGAAGGACAGUGCCAUGAGGAGCAUCCACACCCACAUUUCCCUCAUCUUCAUAACGCUCCACUUGACCACAUACAAAAGCAAGCAAGCAAGCUGUCUCUUAUAUACAAUUUAAUUUGUCCUCUUCAUGCGUUUGAUCAUAGGAUUUUCCCGUGAUAAACUUUUAGACUUUGGUGGUCUCCUCACGAUCUUUUUUCAGAGAAAUCUGCUUCUCAUUUGUAGUUUGCCAUCUUCCUACUGUCGCACUAGCUUUAAUGAUAUGUCCACUUGAUUAUUAUAAAAGAAAAAUAAAAAUACUCCACGUCCACUAUUGUCAGCUUUCGAGAACGCAUGCAGGACCCAGUUUAAUCUCAAUAUGGAUUUUUAUAAGCAAAUCUUAGAGAAACAGUUUCCUGCAUAAUUACUAGAAUUUUUUGGUUUGAUUUAAUUUGAUAUUAAUGAUUUUUCACCUUUUGUCUGAGAUCAAGUACCUAAUGAAACCUUGAAUGGAGCACCCAUUUGUACGCAUAUGCUUGACUUGAGGUCUGCCAUUUUGAUUUUAAAAUACCAUCAAGCAGUAAUUUCUUGGCGGUUUCCUUAUAGAAACUGGUGGUCUCCUCACGACCUUUUAAUUUAAAAAAAAACUCUUGUCGGAGCAUGAUUUAAAAGCUAGGAUUCAACCAGUAUCAGGGAAUGACUGUCAUCUUUUAAAGAAAUUUGAUCACCCACUUUCACUUGUUUUUCGUUGUGGACCUCCGUUGCGAAGUUGCAGUGAAACAAACUCGCAAUUGCAGCAGGUGCCUAAUAAUGAACAAGAAGAUAAUGGUUUCAUAGAUAAUAUUGGGGGAGCAAAUGAGCAAUUAUAAUAUUGGGGGGGAGCAAUUAUAUUGGGGGAGGGCCGGACCAAUUAUAUUGGGGGCCUUUAAAUUGAAAUCGUAAAAUCGGUCCUAAUAUCGUGAUUUUGCGCGAUAUCAUCCGUUUUUUGCGAUUUUACCUGAUUUCAACCUGAUUUUAUCCAUUUUCGAUUUUUUUAACCGAUUCAACUCGUAAUGCAUGUUUUGACUCGUAAAAUCGUACGAUUUUACGAGUCACGCGAUUUUGACAACCUUGGUGACGAUGGUGGAACUGAUGCGGUUGCAUAGCAGCACCAACCAGUACUUUAAUUUCCUAAUGAUUUCCUUGCGGAAGAAAUUAUGGCAUGUUGGAAAACGAUGCCACCCUAACAAUCCAAGAGCUCAAAUUCAACUUGAAUAAAAGCAUGAUAAAUGGAUAAUUUAGAGGAGAAAGGAUCCAAGAACAUCAUGAAACAGGGGAUUGUUAUAUUUUGUUACCCUAACAAUCCAAGAGCUCAAAUUCAACUUGAAUAAAAGCAUGAUAAUUUAGUGGAGAAAGGACCAAGAACAUCAUGAAACAGGGGAUUGUUCUAUUUUGUUAUGUAACAAUCUCAACAGCUAAUUAAGAGGUUAGAUUGUAGGGUCUAAUUUCAAAUGCAAGACUCUAUUGAUUCUCAUCAUUAUAGUAAUAAAACCAUGUGCAUUUUUAUUAAAUUAAGAGGAAACACAAAAUUAAACAAGAAAAUCUUCAGAGUUCAGAAAUAAAUCUAACAUUGCCGAACAGACUGUGAGCAAACCCAGAUUUGGUGGAAGAUAGAAAUAUGAAGAGAGAGCAGAAAUCUUAGAUAAUUCUAUGAAGAGAGAGCAGAAAUCUUAGAUAACAGUUUGUAGAAUAUUGUUGUUUGUUAUGUGAGUUUGGGCAACCAUAGGUCCUAUUUAUAACACGCUUUGUCCAUUUCCAUGACUUUUAUCUGCGUACCUGGUGCCGAUUCUAUGUUUUGAGAUGUUUUCUUUAUUUCAUUUCUUUUUUUAAUAGUUUUGGAUUCGAAUAUUAUUUCAUUUAUUUGUUUAGCCUUAGGUGUAUUUGGGAAUGUGUUUUUCGUUGUUUUUCAAAGUAGUUUUCACUUGGAAAUGUAUCAACAUGAUAUUGUUUGGCCUUAGGGUAUGUUUAGUAGUGUGGUUAGAUGUCUUAAUACGAACCUUGAAAACAUGGUCAAAACAAUAUUUUAUAAAAAUUUGAUUUUUUAUUAAAAUUAUUUUUUAUAUAUUUUUAGUUAGUUAUAAUGUAUUAAUAUCAAAAAUAAAUUUUAGAAAAUAAAAAAUAUAUUAUUUUGAUAUAUAUUCGAGCAAAAAUAUAUUUUAAAAAACAACCCUUAUUACAAUAAUGGUGAUUUCCUUAUGCAUACUAGCGGUCUUCAUUAAUAUUUCAAAAAAUCAUCAUUAAACCUGGUUUGGGGUUGACUAGGAAUAAGGCUGGGGUCAUGAUUUUUUUUAUUAGGUCACUAGAUUAACUUAGAUCAACUCCAAUAUAUAUAUAUAUAUAUAUAUUCAAGUCAAGCUAAGCAUUAACCGAGUCACUUAGAUUUUUCCCUUUUUCAAUUUUUUUAAACUUGUCCCGGUUUUGAUCCUCAAUCAAAUGGGUUUCAUCUUGAUUUAUCUAUAUGUUAAAUUACUUGAUUAACUAAAUUAAUUCUGUAAUAUUGAAUUAUUUGAUGAAAACAUUAUCUAAAACAUGAUUAAUCUUACUUUUAAUAUUAAAAAUUAUGUUUCAACAUAAACUCUUUAAUGUAAAAAUUUAACAUAAUUAAAAUAAAUAGUGAUUACCGUUUCAGCAAUUGAUUUGAUCUUGGCCUUACAAUUAUUUUCAUUAGUCUGUUAAUGUUUUUCUUCAAGCUUAUGGAAAGGGAGGUUUCUCCAACUUGUUGUGUAAGCUCCUUUGCUUUUUGUUUUUCAUAGACUUGGGAAGUCAUUUGUCUCUUAUAACACAAUAAUUGAUGUGUGAAACAACAUCGUUUUAUAUGGAAAAAAAAUAAAGAGUUAACCGAGUAUUUAUUCAAGUCAUGCCAAUCAUUAACCGAGUCAUUUGGAUUUUUUUUCCUUUUUUAUUUUGUAAACUCGACCUUGUUUUGGGCUCCGUUUGUUUGCAGGAAAGUGGUUUCCUUUUGGAAAGUGAAUUCCGGGGAAAGUGAAUUUCUGAAAAGUGAAUUCCGGGAAAGUAUUUUCCGAUGUUUGGUAGUGUUAUGGAAAAUGAACUGGAAAAUAAUUUAUUAAUGAAUUAAAUUUUUUUUCAAGUUUAUCUAAUAUAUAUAAAAUAUUUAAUCACUUACAAUUGUCAUAACCCAAUUUUUGACCCUUUUUUAUUUUUAUUAUUUUAAAAAAAAAGAUGAUGAAAAAUAAAAAUAAAAUAAAUGAAGAAUGAAUUAAAAUUUGGGUUAAGGGCAACAUGAUUGGAAGUUUAAAGAUUUAAUUAAACUCUUGACUAGUUUAAUUAAUUAAAUCAAGGUUUUAAUUGGAGAAUUGAUUUAAUUAAAAUUUAGAUUAUUUUAAUUAAUGAAAUCAAGAGUUUAAUUGAAGAAUUAAUGAGUUUGAGGACUUAAUUAUACUUUGAUUUAAUCAAAAAUCCAGGACUGUUGUGUAAAUGGCGCUAUAACUCAAGGAUUCAAUUGAAUUUAAUCCAAGGGCACAAUUAGAAAUCAAUUAUUUCUGAUUAGGGUCCCAAUUGUUAAGUUUACACUGUCUAGGGACUAAAUUGAAAAACAGCCAUGCCCAAGGACACAACGGCGCCGUUUUGGAAGCAUUGUUCAUCGUCUCCUACGCUUGCGCGGAUGAAGCCUUGUUCAACAGGGAAAUCUGCUGCAACAAAUCCGGUCAUGGACCAUAUCUCUUGCCCACGAUCUCGUUCGUGGAUUCCAUAACAGUCCUGCAAAUGUAGGACUGGUUGAGGGGAAGCUUCUCUAUAAAAGGGGGGACGCAAGCACACCAGGAAAAAAAACCCAUCAUAAACAGAAGAAAAACUCGGGGAAGAGGCCAGCAACCAAAAACCAGGAACGAGUGACCGAAGACCAGAACGAAACAGAGGCAGAAGACGCAAGAGGAGGAAGAACAACAGGUGACGAACAGAGAGGAGAGGAAUUAAAGGGAGCCGAAAAUCAAAGAAAAAACCCAGAAUAACAGAGAAGCAAACGAAACAGAACCAGAAGAGUAGAGGAAAAGCAGAAACAUAAAGCCUGCCAAUCAUCGUCUUCACCACAGCACCUGAACCAGCAAAACAGAGGAAGAAGGGCAGGGGAAACAGGCCAAGAACCAUAAAAAAUGGAGGACGAACAGUGACAAUAAAAAAAAGAACCACCCGAGAGAACCGGCUUCGUCUUCAUCUUCAGGAGCAGCAGACCACAUGUAAUCUUCCCUUUGCAUUUUAAUUCACUGCUACAAUAGCAGUGAAUUAUAAUUCACUUGCUACUGUAGCAAGUAAAUAAUAAUUCAUUGGCCCAGCUGUAUUCUCAUUGAACAGCUGAGGGUAUGUAGAAAAAAGGAAAGUGUUUUUUUUUCUUUACAUAAGAAAAACAUUUCCCUUUAGCAACGUUAUUAUUUUUAGGUUGACUGGAAUUCAUUUUUCUUUGAUUAUUUUCCCUUUCUUGUCAUCAAACAUAGAAAAAGCAGGAAAGUAAAUUCCAAGAAUUCACUUUACUGCAAUCAAACACGGCCUUGAUCCUCAAUCAAACGGGUCUCAUCUCGAUUUUAUAAAAACUAUCCAAUGAUGUUGAUUCGAGGAUGUUCACAAGCUUUUCGCUGUUGGAAGUUUGCAAGCGAAUCUCGUUUUUACCAUCCAAAAAAACUUCUUUUGUACAUCUUCUCACAUGUCAAGGCACAUUUUGAUUAGGGAGACCGUAUAACUUUAUUUCGUUCAAUUUAUGCUGUUUGACAUAUAAAUAUUGUUCAAUGUAAAUCAACUUUUCAUUGUUUUCAAAAAAAUUUCACCUAGUUUAAAUCGAAACAAAUGCUUGCCAGUAGUUAAUAUUAAUUGAGAUAUGUGUUUGGGAGUGUGAAGUGAAGUGAUUAUAUUUUAUUUAAAAAUAAAAAUAAAAUUUUUUUGACACGCAACCGCCGCGAUUAAGUAAAAAAAAAAAAUAGCGCGAAAAGUGCCAAAGGCCCAAAUGUACGCCAAUUUGCAAUGGCAAGUCCCGUAAUUAUUUCAAAAUCAAAUGUGAAAAAUUGAAAGUCACAAGAAGGCAUGAAAAUAUCCUCUUAUUUGAACUUUUAUCUCGUUUAUAUCCUUUUACUCUUUUCUUCAUGUAUAGACAUGGAAAGUCAUGUUCUGAUUUGUUCCUGUGGAAUCAAAAAAUUUCUUCCUCAAUUUUUUUUAUGGAAUGAAGUGAUUUCCCGGUAGCUUCACCAUCCACUUGCAAUUUAUAUAUAUAUAUAUAUAUAUAUAUAUAUAUAUAACUGCCAAAGAAAAAAAUGCAUUGAUUAAAAUAUUGAUGUGUUUGAAUGAAGAAAGUCAGGGCAGAGAUGACCAACAAAAACCACCGUGUGGGCCAAUAAAAUGAAAAUAAAAGACAAUAUCAAUGGCUUGCAAUAAAACAGUGUUUGUUUUAUGUUAAAUUACUUGAUUAACUAAACUUAAUCUUGUAAUAUUGAAUUAUUUGAUGAAAACAUUAUCUAAAACAUGAUCAAUUGAUAUAUCUAAAGUCAAAUAAAAAGUUUAUACUAUACUUUGCCAUUUUCAUGAUUUUAUCUGCAUAUAUUGUUCAGUUUCCAUGAUUUUAUCUGGGAGGAGUCAAUUUAAGUUAUUUGCAUGCCACUUUCUCAGCAAUUGUUGUCCUAUUUUGUGCUAAAUGUCGGGUGUAUAUUAAAUUAGUCAAAAGUUGCAUAACCCGCUUUCUCCAUUACUGUUCUGUAACAAUAUUUUGAUAGCCCUUUAGCAUUAAUACUAUUUAAUUUGUCCUCUUCAUGCGUUUGAUCGGACAGUGACAAUUAUCUGUAUCAUUGAAUUUUCUAUGCUGAAUUAAUUAUCCAAGGGAGACUUGGGCUUCAUUGAAUGGGAGAAUCUUCACGGACAGUGCUAGCCAGGGGACCGCACCACGGCACAGAUCACUCGGUUUGUGGUGUUGGAUUAGGGUGUUUGGGAGUGUGGUAGCGGUUGCUUUUCAAAUAGCUUUUCGUGCCGAAAAGCAUGCCAAUAAUGUUUUUUUAUUUUUUAAAAAUCAUUUUUGACAUCAGCACAUCAAAACGAUCCAAAAAGUACAAACCGCACUCAAUUUUAACAAAAAUAAAUAAAUAAAAAAUUUUUGAAUUUUUUCAAAAAACCGGUUUGGCCGCAUUGCCAAACAAACCGGUUUGUGGUGUUGGAUUAAAGGAUAUUCCAACUUCUUGUUUACUGCUUUACUUUUCUUCAUAGACUUGGGAAGUCAAGAUUCCUAUAAUCCACAUCAUCAAAAUAAAUUUUAAUUAUUUGAGCGAUUCAUUUGAUAUUAACCCCACAAUUAUUUUAAUUAGUCUGUUAAUGUUUUUCUUCAAGCUUGUGGAGCCGCAUGUUCACCAACUAUUUUGUUUUUUUUUUCUUUGUAUAUUUAAAAAGUCAUUUAAUUUAAGUUUUUAUGGUAAUUUAUUUUUGUGUUUUAAAAGUAUUUUUAAAUAAAUUUAAUUUUUUUUAUUUUUUAUUAACUUCAAAUUAAUAUAGUUUUAGUAUUUUUAAAUUAUUUUGAUGUGCUGAUAUUAAAAAUAAUUUUUAAAAAAUAAAAAAAUAUUAUUAAUAUAUAUUUUAAUAUAAAAAAUUAUUUAAAAAACAACCACAAUUAGAUGUUGUAGUGCUUGUUUUUAUUCUUCGUAGACCUAUGAAGUCAAAAUUCCCAAUUAUCCACUGCAUCAAUCUCUAUCCCAUUAAAAUGAAUUUGGUGCAAGAAAAUGAAUUUUAAUAUUAUUAAUAUAUAUUUUUUAAAAAAUAUAGCGUAUAAAAAAGGAAAUCCUGUAUCAUAUCUUUCACAAAUCUUAAAUAAUUAAUGAGAAAGCAGAACAAGGAUAAAACAACAUUGUUUUUUAUAUAUAAAAAAUAAAUAAUUAAUAGAUUGCAAUUAGGUAUUUAUUCAAGUCAGGCCAACUAUUAACCGAGUCACUUGGAUUUCUCAUUAUGCAUAUUUAAGAUUGCUAAAAAAAAAAAAUUAGUUUAAUUUCACAUAUAAGCUAAUUCGAUAACACUUUUUAAUAUAAAACCAAAAAAAAUGAGUGCUAUCGUCAUCAACUUUAUUUGGUUUAAAUUUAUGACGUUUGACAUAUAAAUUCUAUUCAAUUUAAAUCAACUUUUCAAUAAAUAGUUAAUGUUAAUGAGCACAGUAGCGAGAACUAAGCAGUGUUAUGUGUAUUUGGGACUGUGAAUACUGUACACUUUGGCUCUCUUCAUAGAGUCAAUUGACUUUCACACGUAGGGCAUGUUUGUUUCCCGAAAAACAGUUUUCGGGAAACCAUUUUCCAAACUUUCCUGUGUUUGUUUGUUAUUAGGAAAGUUGGUCAACGGAAAAUACAUUUCGGUCAACGGAAAACACUUUAUAGUCAACGGAAAACACUUUCCAGUCAAAGAAAAAUUUGACUUGGUUUUCAGGAAAGUGUUUUCCCUUUAGCUGUGUUUGUUUUCCGGAAAGUGGUUUCCGGAAAAUCACUUUCCAAUCCGGUCAACGGAAAACACUUUCCAGUCAAAGAAAAAUUUGACUUGGUUUUCAGGAAAGUGUUUUCCCUUUAGUUGUGUUUGUUUUUCGGAAAGUGAUUUCCGGGAAAUCACUUUCCAAACUUUCUUUUGUUUGUUUGCUAGUAGGAAAGUUGUUCAAUGGAAAACACUUUCCAGUAAAAUGAAAGUUUGGCUUGGUUUUCAGGAAAGUUUUUUCCUGAAAAAUUUGAGGGGAAAACACUUUCCGGAAGUUGUGAAAAAUUUAGAAAUAUCAUUAUUUGUUGAUUAUAUCAAAUUUGAUCCUCAAACUUUUGAUUGCUAUAUAUAUAUAUAUAUAUAUAUAUAUUGAGUAUUUAUUUUUCAAUUUCAUCUCUUAAAAUUUUAUUUUUAUAUUAACUUUGGUCUUUAUUUUUAUAUUUGCUUUUUGCUUUUUCCUUAUCAUUUUUUUAUUGAAAUUUUGUAUCUAUCAAAUUUGGUCUUCAUUCUUUUGAUUGUUACUUAUUUUAUUUGAAACAAUUUAUAAAAUGUUGAUUAUUAUUAUUUUAAUUUCUUCAUCUUUUUUUUAAUUUUUUAGAUUUGAUCUCUAUUAUUUUGAUUAUUAUUUAUUUUAUUUGAGAUAAUUUAUGAAAUUAUUUUUUUUUUUCAAUUUCAUUCUCAUUCAACUUUUUAAUUUAUAAGAUUUGUUUCUCAUUAUUUUAAUACACUUGAGAAAAAUAAAAUAUUAAUAAGUUAUUUUCCAGCUCAUUUUCCAUGACAUAACCAAACACUGGAAAGUGUUUUCCAACUCAUUUUCCAUUACACUACCAAACAUCGGAAAAUACUUUCUCGGAAUUCACUUUCCUCAGAAUUCACUUUCCAAAAGGAAACUACUUUCCAGCAAACAAACGGAGCCGUAGUAAAAAUGAAAAACAAAUUACUCCGUGGAUUGGUGAUUAAACUACAAUACUAAAUAUACCCCCUGAUCUGUGGAUUUGUGAUUAAACUUGGAAAAAAACAACAAUACUCUAAAAAGCCAUAUGUGAAUUUGUGAUGAAGAAAAUUCAUUAUUUUUAUUUUUUUUUGACAUAUUAGGUUCCACUAGAUGCACCAAGUCAAUGUGAGUGGUUGUCUUUUUUCUUAUUUAUGAGAAUCCAAUAGAGGCAUCAAGUCUAGGGCUCCACAAUGUCUGCCACUAGUCAAUUUCCUCCAACUUGUUGUGUAAAUUACUUUGUUUUCUCUUCAUAUAUAGACAUGGAAAGUCACGUGAUCUAAUGGAAUACAAAAAUUUCUUCCUCAACUCUUUUCAUGGAAUGAAGUGAUUUCCCGGUAGCUUCAUCAUCCACUUGCACUUUUUUUUCUCCGUAGACUUGUGAAGUCGGUCAAGAUUCCCAAUAUAUUAUCAACAUCAUCAAUUUAAAAAAGAAAUAUAUGUUAGGCUGAUUUACUUUCAUAUUAAUUAUUGUUUGAAUAUUCUUCAUCUGAAUGAUAUUAGUCCAUUCAAAACAAAUUCAUUUUCUUUUUUAUAAAUAUAUUUAUAUAACUACCAAAGAAGAAAAUGCAUUGAUUAAAAUAUUAUUGAUGUGUUUGAAUGAAGAAAGUUAGGGCAGCGAUGACCAACAUAAACACCGUGUGAGCCAAUAAAAUUGAAAACAAAAGACAAUAUCAAUGGAUUGCAAAAAAAAAAAAGUUUUAUGUUAAAUUUAUCUAUAUGUUAAAUUACUUGAUUAACUAAACUUAAUCAUUUAAUAUUGAAUUACUUGAUGAAAACAUUACCUAAAAUAUAAUUAAUUGACAUAUUUAAAGUCAAAUAAAAAACAAACCCCGCUUAUUUUUAAUAUUAAAUAUUAUUUUUUAAUAUAAAUUCUUCAACAUGAAAAAUUAACAAAAUUUAAAUAAAUUGUGAUUACUGUUUGAGCGAUUGAUUUGAUCUUGGACCCAUAAUUAUUUUCGUUAGUCUGUUAAUGUUUUUCUUCAAGCUUGUGAAAUUGUUACCCAUGUAAAUGCUAUGUUUCUCUUUAGAUUUUUUCCUACCCUUGAAACUGUUAUGAACAUAAGUAAAAGAGAUGAAAACUCCUUUACCCACGUAUCGAGUGUCGCACGUGUACGACAGCGCGACGAAUCGUCCACCCUCAAAUGAAAAAAAAUCGGAAUAUUUAUUCCUGGAAAAUAGUCAGAGACAAGGAAUUCUUGUCUCUACAAGUAAAAAUAUGGACUGGGAGACUGGUUACUAGGAACUUUAACUGGUCUUUAGAGAUCGGGUACGGAGACUGGUUACGUAAAAGAAAGGUAUAAGCACCCCAAUUACACCCUACCUAAGGUAGGCUGCAUUGUUUUAAUGUCUGAUAACAUCUAAGGUCGUGUUUGUGGAUUUUAAUAUUAUUGUUCGGAAUACGCAUUACAUGUAAUGUCAUAUCCCAAGUUCUAUUAAAAAAAAAUUAAAUAUCCGGAAUAUGUAUUGUGUAUAAUGUAUAAUGUCAUACCCCGGAUAUUAAAAGAUAAACAAAAUAAAAUUUUUGUUGUUUUUUUGAAAUUUUGGCCAAUAUUCUCUUGACUUUAAUAAACUGGUUAUUAAAGCCAAAAUGCAUGCUAAAACAUUGUUUUUCUCUUUUUUUUAAUUUGUUUUUGUAUUCUUGAAAGUCGAAAACCGGGUAUUUCAGUACCAGAUUUGUAUUUUACGACAUAAAAAUAUUGCCCGAUAUUAAUCAAAAUGACAUAAAAACUACGCGGAAAAAUUAUAAAAUGCUGAAACAAAUAUUUUUGAUUUUUUUUUGAAUGGGCCGGGUGAACAGUAUCGUGUGAACAGUAAUGAAUACGGGGUAUUUUAAUACCAGAUUUAUAUUUUUACGAUGUAAAAUACAGACGAUAUUAAGCAAAAUGAUAGAAGAAAACGUGCUUUUUUAAAAAUAUGUAUAUAUAUAUAUAUAUAUAUAUAACUUAUAACAAAAAAAUAAAAAUAAAUAAAUAAAUAACUGGCCGGACCCGACCCAAAUGCAUGGGCCGGGCCGACCAAGCCUAUUUACAUGGGCUGGGCCAAAGGCCCAAACGGGCUGGUUACUGUGCAUCAGCACAGUAACCAGCCCUUCCUUAUUUGCAGAACGUGAAAUAAUUCACGUUCUGCAUGAAGGCACAGCGGAUAACAAAGGGAGGCAGAGGCGGGGCAACAGGAUGGCGUACCUGCGGUGGCGUCGAGGCGGUGCGGCUGGCGGCGGAGGCACGGUGGCCGGCGGAGGCACGGUAGCCGGCGGUUUUCCUUCUCUCUCUCUCCUCUGUUUUUGUUCUCUUCUCUGCCGAUUCUCUUUCUUCUUCUUUUUUCUUUUUCUUUCUGUUUCUCUCGUCUCUCUCUACCCUCUUUCUGUCGUGCAAUCCUUCUCCUUCUCCCCCUCUUUUUUUUUCUUCUCUGCUUCGGUCCCCUUCCACUGUUUUUAUAGGAAAAAAUAGGGGGGCCGAAUGGUGGGGCGGCUUGGCCGCCCCUCCACUAUCCGUUCAAAAGGAGGCAAGUGGGGGUCGAAUGGUAGGCGUCUUAUUGCGCCAAAUCCGGGAAAGAAGUUCGGCGAAAAGUGGAGAAGAAAAAAACUCUUCUCCCUUGUUCUCUGCGUGCGCAGGGAAGAAGACGAUGGUGUCGUUUCAAAACAGCACCGUUUUACGUUUUCUCUCUCUUUUUUUUUUAAAAUAAACAGUGCAUGAAACGACGUCGUUUUGGUCAAAACACGCCGUUUCAUUUAAAAGGAAAAGGCGGUAAAACACGUCAGAUUCAAAUUUAGUCCAUCAAUUUGCGCGCGUUUUACGAUUUCGUCCUUGGUCUCGGAUUUCUGAAAUUAAGUCCUUAAUUGACCAUUAAACUUCAUUCUUUAUGCAAUUAAGCCCCUGAUUUGACCAAAUUAACUUUCAAAAAUUAUAAGUUGACACCAGAACUUUAAUUUCUUCCAAUUCAAGCCCAAAAUAACUCCAAAAUCAAUUGUUUUUGCAAUUAAAACCUCUAUAAAUUCAAUUAAACCUUCAAUAAAAUUUAAUUGAGUCCAUAAACUUCUAAUUUUGCAUUUUUCUUCCUCAAAUUGAAUUUUCUUUAUCAUCGAGGCUCUCAUCAGUCAAUGAUAUACUGUCAGAAAUGAAAUUUUAUUUGUUUGAACAUCCUCAAUCAAUUUUUGAGCAUUUUUAGGGCACUCUGACAUUUUUUUUUUACUGUUAUAUUUUUUGAUAAUAUAUUUUUUUGAAUUGUUUUGUAUUUUUUAGGUGAGGACUCAAAAAUGGGUUACAACAUCGAGCAUACCCUAGUUACAUAACACUAGUUAAAUCUUGACAUAACAGUUCAAGUUAAUUAAUGGCUAGGAUUUUGUUUAGUGGAUUUGUUUUUUGAAAUUAAAUAUCAUAUCAAUAAACAAAUAGCAACUAAAAAUGUAACUAAAAAUAGCAAUAUUUGUUUAAAUAUCAUAUCAAUAAACAAAUGUAACUAAAAAUGUAACUACUAAAAUAGAUAUUUUAUUUUGUUAAUUUUAUUUGAAAAAGCUUUUGAACAUAAGGACUCCAUAUUUUUUUUUUUAUGAUUACUAUAUUGGAUAGGCUUAAUGCCCCGGUAAUAACCAGGAUAGGAGGCCGACUUAAUUAGAGUUGAUAGGGCACAAAUAUAUAUAUAAUGUGCUCCGAUUAAUACAAAAUUAAUUAUAAUAAUAAUUAGGGUUUGUUCUUUUAUUCAGUUUCUUGUUAUCUAUUUUUGGGUUCUCUCACAAAAAAAAUUGCAAGAAAACAAAAAAUAUGAACAAUUGAUUUGAUCUUAUGAAAUACAUGGCAGAAGAGAUUAGAAAAUGAUUUCCAUUUGUCAGAAAUACACCCCAAUAGUCUUAAUUUGAAUUGCACUUUGCACUCCUUUUCCAGCGAUCAAUAGCUAGGAAACCUGUCAGUGAAAUCUUUAUUAUUUGCUCCGGGUUGCUGCUGCUGGUUACUCUGUCACGGAUUAUUAUUUUUCAGUAGUCAGUUAUCCUAGUGCUUGCUUGGACAUGCUCAACAAUGGAGUUCCUCUAAAUGUAAUUACCAAAGUGAAAUCUUCUGUCAAAGUCAUUUCAAGCCGGAAAAGAUCAGGAAAAAGAAGUCUUGAAACAUCAAGCGAAUAGAGCCCAGCAGGAAAAAUUCGUUUCUGACGGUGAGAUUUGUAAUGUGAUCCUAGAUACAAUCUCAUCUCGAUUAGACUCCAGUACUGGAGGAUGUGAUUGCUGAUAUAAAAAAUAAAUAAAUAAAAACACUUAUAUGUUAUUUCUCAGUUCAAAUCUGGUGAUGAGAUUCAUACAGAAGGACUCGUGGCACGGCUGAAGCAGAUCCAAGGUCAAUACUUGAGGAAAAUCUUGGAACCAUUCCAGCUACUAUUAUUUUUUCCAACUAUUAGAUCUUAACAUCAACAGUCAAUAUCGUUGAAAAAAUCAACAUUGAAGCCAUACAAAUUCACGUAAGGGACACACAAACCCCACAAGAAAGAAAGGAAAAGGGCCUCACAAGAAGUAAAUAAAAUCUCACAAUGAGUAAGAAAACCAAACAUAUUGUAGAAUAAAAGUAAGGCAUUGGAUUGAUCGUUCAUUAGCCGUUCAUGAUCAUGAAUCAAAUCAUUACAUAAAUCAUCACCCACGCAAGUAAAAUAAAAAUCAAGGCUUUGGAGAUUGCUUAACCUUUCCAACAGCGUUGCUGUUUCGAUCGGUAGGCUUGAUACUUUUAGUUUUAUCUAUGUUAACACUAUAGGUAAUUAAGAGUUUAUUUGGUAAUGUGGUUACGGUUAUUUUUUAAAUAAUUUUUUGUAUUAAAAUACAUGUCAAUGAUAUUUUGACAUCAGCACAUCAAAAUAAUUUGAAAACACGAAAAACAUAUUAAUUUAAAGUUAAUAAAAAAUUAAAAAAAUUCAAUGAUAUUUUGAUAUUAGCACAUCAAAAUGAUUUGAAAACACGAAAAACAUAUUAAUUUGAAGUUAAUAAAAAUUUAAAAAAAUUUAAAUUUUUAAAAAUAUUUUUAAAAUAUAAAAAGAAACAGGCUCAACCGCGGAAAGUCUUGCAAAACAAAGCAUGUAUAGGGAGGGUGGCAGACACGUAGCUUCGCUGUGAUUUCUUGACAUUAUAUUUUUUAUUGAUUUGUUUUUUUGUAUUUUAUUAUUUUUUAUGCGGACACCCAAAAAUGAGUUACAACAUUAUUUGAGAAUAGACAAAAAAAAAUUUUUAAUUCAGUUAUAGGAUGAUGAAUUCUCUCUUGGUCAUUCAAAUAUCUUCAUAUAGUUUACAUUAUACCUAAUAUUUACUUAUUUUUUACCAUUGAUUAGAAUAAUAUGUAAUCAGGAUCAAAACAUAACACUCCCUAAAUAAAAUAACUUGGUGAUCUCAAGUCCUUUAAUCUUUGGUGCUUCCCUGAAGGUAGAGUUUCAUCUAUGGCUUUUAAUCUUGAAUAAAUUGCCUAAAAAAAAAAAGACUAAAACUGUGAAUUAUAUUUUACUUUAUCAUAAGAUGGUUUAGAAGUUAUGAUAUCGGGUGACAAAAUAGUUGGGACAAUAGUUGAUCUUGCCUCAAUCUUUGGAUGACGUCUUCUUAUUAUGGAAUGGCAUGGUAUAGGGAUUUAUGACAAAAAAAAAGUGGUGUUUAUUCUUCUCUGGUAUAGUUUAGUCUAUUUAGAAUACCUGUAAUAAUAUAAUUUUUAAUGAGAAAGAAACAAAUUAGAAUGGGAUAUAUUAUUUCUUUUUUAAUUGGGCUGUUAUUUGAGCGAAAUAUAAAGAUUUAGAGCUUUUUCUAUACUAGGUUAGAUUUAAUUUGUUCAUCAAAUUAUUUUUUUAUAUGGACUAAAAAUAUAAAUAUGAGAAUUGAUUCUCCAAUAUUAACGCAUCUUCAAAUGACAAAACAGGGUCUUUAAGAAUUGGUGGUGUUUUUAGUGAUAAUGAAGGAAGAUUCCUUUGUAUUUUUUUCUUGUUCAACAGGUAAUAUAGAAUCUAUUGAAAUUGAGGUCUUGUUAAUUUGAAAAGCUAUGAUUGCUACUAUGUUAUUAAUUGAUGAGUUAGAUUCUUACGAUGUCGUUACACGUCAUAAUUAAAGCAUAAAAUGUCGUGCACGCCGAUGCUUGACUUGCGGUUUUCCAUUUUGAUUUUUAAAUACCAGAAAACAGUAAUUUCCUUAUAGAAACUGGUGGUCUCCUCACGACAUUUUUUUCAAAUAACUGUUGUCAGAAAAUGACUAUCCUCAUUAACAGUAAUUUAUUAAUUUUUUUUAAUAUACUUUGUUCAUGUGAGGUUGUGUUUUCAAAAUCUUCCAAGAAAAAAAGGGACUAAAUGAUGAACCAAAUUGAAUUUCACGCUCCUAAUUUAAUAAAUUAAAAUUUUCAAGCUCUAAAGUUAUAUCCUUAGCACCAUACUCUAUUAAGGAAAAGCUCUAAUAUUUUUAUCAAAAGUUUAUAAUUUAAUAAUCCAAUCUUAAAACAAUACUUUAAUUGUUGAUAUAAAAAUUUAAAACUGAUCUAAUCAAAAGAGUUCAAAACUAAAUGGAAAAAAUAAUUAAAAUAUAAAACUAACUAGAAAAGUAAUUAAAAUAACAAAAAUAAAAUCUUUUGAGCUUAAUUUGAAAAGAUUUGUGUGGUGGAUGUUCAAACAUAUAGUUUUGAAACCCGAUCCGGUGAUCGACCCGGUUUAAUGAUCGGGUCACGGGUCCAAUGGGUUGACCCGGGUUAAUCCAGGUCAACCUAAAAAAAAAAAAAAAAAACUAAUUAAAGGGCAUUUUAUGAAUCAGGGGCAGGGCCGGGCGGUUAAAGAGGAAGAGCUUAUAUAGGCUCCAUUGCUAAAUUAACCUAAUGAGGUGAAAUUUAUCUUCCCCUCCAAUUUGAAAAUAUUUUGAUUGAGUUCAGGGCACAGAGCCCUAGACAAUGAAAAUUAGUAUUCCCCUCCUAUUCAACUUGAGAAGAAUCUUGUCCUCACCUAAAGCAUCUCCUACAUUCCAAAGGCUAGAAGUCUGCUUUCUUCGUAUUUGAGCAUCUUUGCCUCUUUUACUCUGAAUAGAGAAGGAGCUGCUCUAGAAUGCCCUCUUUUGAGGUGCAGAUGAGGUGGAGGAAUCGGUUGUGCACAGUUCCUACUGGGAGGUAUAGUAAAGAAGGUAUAAUCAAUUGGUUUUUCAAACUGUAGCAUAGACACUUGUUUGCCACAGUGGGGGUAGGUACUUUUAGUAAUGAUGAAGAUGAAGAUUUCAGAUGAGGAUUUGGAGAGGCCAUUGGCCAUUUCAGAUGAAGAUUUCAGCCGGGUUUCAGCUGGGUUUACCCGGGUCAACCAGGUUUCGGGUCGACCCGCCGGGUCUACGGGGUUUCACCGGGCCAACUCCCAAGCUAGUUUUUUCUUAGACCCAGACCGGUCCUAGGCCAGGUCGGCUGGGUCCCGGGUCGACCCGUUGGGCCGGUCCGGGUUUCAAAGUGUUUUUCGUUGACUAGAAAGUAUUUUCCGUUAACUAACUUUUCUAAUGAUAAACAAAUACAGGAAAGUUUGAAAAAUGGUUUCCCAGAAAUUAGUUUCCGGGAAACAAACAUGGCCUUAGUAGACCUAGGAAGUCAAGUUUUCUAAUUAUCCACGUCAUCAAUCUCGAUCCCAUCAAAAAUUAAUUUGGUCGAAGAAAGAAAAAAAAAAUUAUCAAUUAUUUUCAAGCUUGUGGAACGGGUGUUCCUCCAUUUUCUUGUUUAACUGUUUUCUUUGCAGACUUGGGAAGUCAUAUGUUAUGAACAAUUGAUUUGAUCUUGUAAAAUUUAUGGCAGAAGAGAUUAGAAAAUGACUUCUUCUUUCAAUAAUCUUCUUCUUUGUGAAAUGAUUUCCCGAUACAGCUCUUAAUUUCAACACCUGCUUGCUCUUCUUUUCUUAGUAGACCUGGGAAGUCAAGAUUCCUAAAUAUCCACAUCAUCAACCUCGACCCCAUCAACAAUAGUGCCCACCAGGAAAAAUUAGUUUCUGACGGUGAGAUUUGUAUAGCUAGUAAACAUGCUCAACCAAUAAUCAUAAAUGAUGCCAAAAUUGUAGUCAAAGAGACUUGGAACUCCCUGAUGAUGGUCUCUAGCUCUGGAGGUUUAUUCUGCCAAAAUUGCAUGGGCCGUUUUACAGCCUUCGUAAUGGGCUUGGCUACUUUGGGUAAUUAAAAAAACCCAAAUCGAUAAUGUUUUUUUUUUCCUUCGGUAUCCGUUUAAUCAAUCUUCUGGUUUGAUCCUUGAUAGUGCUGUGUUUUGAUGCUUGUCGAUUAGCCACAAUAAUGUUAAAUUUACAAGGACAGGUCCAAGAAAAGCAAUGCAGGCCUGUAUUGGUCUCUGGGAGUCCGCUGAUAAAGGCUGCAAUCAUUGCUUGAACCCUUGUAAAGGGGCCUUUACACAUGAGGUCCACUGAAGAAGUACAACACCGUUUUUUAUUUAAUUCUUAUGGUUUAAAUCUACUAAUAACUUAGUCAUUUUGCAUGCUAUUUUCCACUUGUUUUGUAAAAUAGAGAAAAGAACAAAGUAAAUCUUUUUUUUUAGUUUAUGGCAUGUUCUCAAAAGUUUUAUUGAUAUUAAUUAAAUAACAAAGACAUUGAUGUAGCUGAAAAUUGAGAACGAGAGGGAUGAUCAGGAAUGGAUUAAGCAAAUUGGGCUUGAAAAAGACCCAACAGCAGAGAAAAAUCUGAAAUAAACUCUUGAUGUUCAAAAUAGCCCACAAGCAAGGCUUAAAUAGUUAGGGCUGAGAAAAUUACCAAAAUAGGUAAAUACUGAUUAUUCAAUAAAUAUAGAAACUUCCUGGAAUAAGUUUGAUAUCCUUUAAUUUUUUUACCGUCUUAGAACAGUUUAUCCUGUUCGAUUCCGCUUUGCUUCGACCGACCACAAUGAUCCCAUAUCCAUCUAUACAAAAAUCGAUUAAGCUGUCCGUUGACACAUUAACUUCUCUGGCUCCAUUCCAUCCUGGAUUAGCAAUCUUUCCCGGAUCAUUUAUGCCCGUUAGAACUGUUAAGCAUGUUGGAUAUUUUGCAUAAUAAGCUCUCGGGUCCUUUAUCCUCUUGUUUGUCCAAUUUAACUUUCAUGGCAAACGAUGCAAAAUGCUAUCUAUCUUUUUUUUGUUUUUUAACUCUGGGUGUCCGGGUCAGUUUACGCGCACCACAACUAAUCUCAGGACCUACUGAACAUCCUGCAAGCUCAGUAGGCAAAUAAAGUACCGCCGGGGUGACAGACUGGUGCACAGCGAGGAUCGAACUCGGGCAAUUGACCACUGAGUUAAACCCUCAAGUGUCAGCCCUACAACUUGGCCUAGUAUUCAAUAUUUUGAUAAGUCAAAUCUUGUACUCAGAGGCGCAACUAAGGGGUGGCAAGUAGGGUCGGGCCCUGCAACCACCCCUACAAAAUAUUUUAGAAUUUAUUUUUAUUUCGUUAGUUAUUUAUAAAUUUAAAAUUGCCUCUUCGUAUAAGUUGGAAAAAAUAAAAGAUAAAUAAUUUUUUCAAUUUAAUUACUUUUCUUUAUUGUUUUUUUAUUUCCAUUCUCUAAAAUCCUAACCAAAAAAAUAUAAUAAUACAAAGCAAAAAGAAAAAGUUAAAACAAAGUUAUCAAUUAAUUCAUUGUUCAUUGAAACAAGAUAAUUAAUGACCCAAAUUUAAAAUCUUUUGUUUUUUUUGUUUGUUAAGAAUUUGCUUAGAUGUAUAUAUAUAUAAUUAUGCUUCUUUUUUUUAUAGAUCUACUAGGUUUAUCAUUUUUUUAUUUCUUGCUAUAGUGAAUGUUGUUUUUUUGUAAUGAAUUGGAUAUAUUUUAUGGGUUUAUUUUGAUUAUACAUAUAUAUUUUUUUGUUUUGUUUUUAGCAGAAUCGUUAAAAUUAUCAAUUUUUUUCUCACAUAUACCUUACUAUCACCAGAUCCAAUAUAUAAUUAGACACGAUUUUUCUAGCCAAAUUAAGUUCUUUGAAAAACACAUGCCUAGUUUUAAUUCAAUUUAAGUUUUCUUUUUUAGAAAUCAAUAAUUUCAUUUUUUAUGUUAGAUUUGUUUUUAUAUAUCUUUUUUUUUAAUAUGUUGAUUUUGCUUUUAUAAGCCAAUAUGGUUUACAUGUAACAAAUUAUAUUUUAUUAUAUUAGUUUUGACCCUUCCUGUUAAAUAAUCUCAGCUACGCCCCUGCUUGUACUGAUGGGUUUGCCUCAAGUAGGCUAUUCUUAUCGUGAAAAUAAGUUCACAAACAACAUUGCAGAUUAAUCUGUCGAGUUCUCAACAAAAAGACAGUCUUACUCCUAUCGAGAUGAUCUUCUUCCUUUCAUGUCUGGUAUUGAUUUUUCUUACAACGGAUUCACUGGCAAAAUCCAACCAAAUUUUGAAAUUGUAAGUGAGCUACGAGCGGUAAAUCUAUCACACAUUAAUCUCAUUGGAUCCAUCCCCGCAACUCUUUAGAACCUGAAGCAGAUUGAGAGUUUGGAUCUUUCUCACAGCAAAUUGACCGGUACGGUACCAUCCCUUCGCAGCUAUUGAGGUGAGCACAUUGGAGGUUUUCAGUGUUGCAUACAAUAACUUGUCCGGUAAAACUCCAGAGAGGAAAGCUCAGUUCGGAACCUUUGAUGAAAGUAGUUAUGAGGGAAAUCCUCUUCUUUGUGGACCUCCAUUGCGAAUUUGCAGUGAAACAAACUCGUAAUUGCGCAGCCUGUACCUAAUAAUGAACAAGAAGAUAAUAAUGGUUUCGUAGACAUGGAUGCUUUCAUUGUGAGCUUUGAGGCAUGUUACAUAAUUGUGUUGUUGGCAAUUGCAGCAGCUCUUUACGUAAAUCCUUACUGGAGAAGAAGAUGGUUUUACUUCAUUGGAGAGUGCUUAAGCAAUUGCUACUGUUUUCUAGUGGUUAAUUUCCGUAAGCUGUCCAACAUCAUGUCAUCGGACCUCUGUAUAAUCAUUCAAUUAGAUGACACAUUUAAAAAUUUUAAAAACUAAUAAUACUAUAACUAUGAAGAACACCUAAAAUAUUUAAUUUUAUUCUUCCAAGUCUCUGCUAAACUAAUGAUACACAAUUGUGGUACUAGCAAUUGCGGGAGUUUUGUACAUAAACCCAUAUUGGCGACAUAGGUGGUUUUACUUCAUUGAAGAGUGCAUGGAGACUUGCUACUUUGAAUUGCAUACAUUUCAUAAGCUAUCCUCCUUCAUAAGGCCAUAGGGUCUGAUGCGUGCCUUUUGUUUUUUCAUAUUUUUUAGUUUGAACUAAUAAAACCUUUACUUUUUUUCAAGCUUCAGUUCAUUUUAUUGCAGUUUCUCAAAUGAAUUCUACAAAUUCAAGAUAUAUAUGCAUCCUUAAUGCCAUAUUAAAAAGAAUAUAUAGAUAGAAGAAGAGGAGCUUUACGUGAUAUGGAUAGCGUGAUGCUCCUAAGCCUAGAACCAGCUAAAACUUAAUAUUAUGAUGAAUAAUUCAGCAAAACUUAAUUCAAUUUCAACUUCCAAUCUCAUCAUUAGUACAAAAUGCAGAGUCAGAUUGAAAGGAAAUUGAUUGGAACUUGAAAUUCAGGUAACAAUACUUCUAGCAGAGCUUCCUCCUUAGCCUCUCCCUAUUGUAUCUUCUUCGAGUGGAACUCUUAGCUUUUUGCCCUCCAAGAUAUAUGUUCUCAUCUUUCUCAAGUACUCUCUUUUCCAUCCAGCAUAAGCAAUCACAACUUACCUCAACGGAAAACUUUAUAGCCAACUUCAAGUCUUCAACCAAUAUUUAAAAGGAAUUUUGUCCUUUGUUUGAUAAGCAAAAUCAACAGAACCUGUCGUUGACUUUCUAGCUCAUAUAUAGCAGUAGCCAUUUUAAGGAGCAGAAACAAACACUGUAGAGAUUUAUCAUCACGAAAAUCUAGUUGAAGCCAACUACAUCAAAACUCCACAGCCAAUGUAUUAAUCUAGUUCUGUAAGCCUACACCUUUGGCAUUUUUAUAUAAACUUAUAUCCUAGCUUAAUAACAAGUAUUUUAGUUACUGGAAAAUAAAUAGAUAAGAUAAUCCUAACUUAAUCUAAAUUAAAUAGUUAACACAAUAACACAAAUCAAAACUCAGGAAACAAGAAACAAGUGUGAAUUGAGUUAAAACAAAUAUGAAAUCAAAUAGAGGAUGGAAAGUUUAUUUUUAGAUCAAGAAUAGCAUGUAUUAAAAAGAUAAUAAAUAAAAUUAGAGUAAUAACAUUGCUACAACUUAUCAUUAAAUUUCAUUUGCAAUUUCCUCUCAAUUUUCUGUAGUUUUGUAGAGACAAAGAUUAGUUGGUCCUUACGGGAAUUUUUCUUCCUUAAUUUCACUCCCAUUUUCCAAACGAUGGAAUUCAUACAACCUUUCGAUUUUAUUUCCACGUAAAAUCCAUUCUUCUGUAUCAAACAGAACAUAAUAAUGGGCCAUAUUUUAAUUUAAAUAUCUUUUUCCUAAUAUUUAAAGCCUUUUUGCUGGGAAAAUGGGGAUUUGAGAGAAAAGACAAUAGAUAAGAAAGGACAUAAAAAAAAGUGAGAGAAAAUGAUGGUGGGUCUUCAUUCUUCAAGGACCGUAUUGGAACUCCUUGGAGGCAUGCGUGAGAGGUGAAAUGGAAAAGUAUAGGGAUCAAAGUGUAAUUUCAAUGAAUAUAUAGGGCUUAAAAUACAAUUUACCCUUAAUUUUUCAUGGAUGACGCAGUCACAAGGGGAGGAUAGAGGUCAUUUCUGAAAUGAUAAGACAGGCAGUGACAAUAAGUAAAAUUUUGUAAAUCAUCAUCAAUAAGAAAUCAUGACGUGGGGACAGAUCAGACGGUUGAUAGUGACUCUUUUUACCCGCUCUCUUUCUCUCCGUGGGGGGUUUUAGGACAGUAUCGCGCGAGAUGCGCGGGUGCCGUGUUCUUACAUUUCCAAGGUGCAUAGUGGGAUCCAUGUCUUUAUCCAACCAAUUAAAAUCUUGUACUCCUUGGGACCCACUCGGUUUCUAGUUUUUUCUUUUUAAAAAAACAAAUUCAUAAAAGCCCUCAACCUUCGAGGCUCCUCUCAAGCUAGUCUCAUCUCUAUCAUAGCAAUAUUAGAAUUUUUAUUCAUUUUUAGUUAACAGAAAAUUUAAGUAAUCACUUGAAAUUUAUAUGGUUUUUUUUAUAUCACUUGAAAUUUAUAUGGUUUUUUUUAUAUCACUUGAAAUUUAAGUAAUCACUUGAAAAAAUUCUCAUUUUAAAUCGCUUGAAACUAAUUUUAUAAAGAAACACAACCAUCUUACAUUUUUAUAAUUUAUAUAAUUUGUUUAAUUACAUUAAAAAAUGAUAUAAUAAGAUGAAGAGAAAUCACAUAAAUGUUUGAUUUUAUAGCCCUUUAAAACAAACUCAUCAAAAUAUUUAAUCCAAAUUAUAGACUCUAAUAUGAAUAAAUAGAACUGGGCUAACUAAAAAAAAGCAUGUUCAUGUAAAAUGACUAGUCUGACUAAAAAAAUCUAAAUUUCAUUUCGACCUUUAAAUCAUUUUUAAAUUUAAACAAGAGAUUCUAGGUCUCAAUUCUAUAAAAAGGUGGCCUCGGCUUGAUGUUUGAGUCAAUUUCAUUCUAGUCUGCAUGGCAAUGGUCCCACUCAAUCGCAGUAUCCACAUGAGCAGAGUCUAAUGAACUACUCAACAUGCAUUUGGUUCUGGUAAUUCAAUUAUGCGAAGGGUGUAGGUUCGAAUUCUUCGACUUAAACGAACAUGUUUGCGUAAUUAAGUGUUCAAUCACGUACUUCGCUAUUGAAAACAUUUAGAAUUUAUCAACAAUUCAAUUAAGCAGGUAUAUACAGACUUCCAACAUCUGUAGAUAUCAUUGAAUCAUUAGUGAACACUGAGUAGACCGAGAUCCAGAUCAAAAUGUGUCACUUAAGCUCUUAAUAUUACAGAAAACUUACAAUUGCCCUGAUGGUUAGCACAAAAGACCGGCUUGGAGUUCAGACUAGCCAAAUUGCCCAACUCUUUAAGCCUGAAUUUUAUCACCAUCAUAAAAUGGGGAAAUUAGUUUAGAUAUACAAGGCGAAAUGGAAUUAAUUACCUCACAUUUUGAACUUCAGAUUGGUAAUGCAUGACCACUUGCAGGUCCUCCUAGUGUUAGAACCACACCUUGAAGAUCACUUCUUGGAUUUGAUUCUUUGGCUAAUGAUGGAGCAGCUCUGAUUACCGGAUAUGUUCUGGUCACUUGAGUUUGUCGAGAACUAUGACUGGAUUCUUGUCCUGAGAAUGUUGUUGGAUGAUGAGAAGGCUUCAAGGUAUCAGUAUGAUUGGAGUUUGGAAAUUGAUGAACAAUGGGGAUUUGAGUUGCUGGUGAUGCAUGAUUUUGAGCUAGAAUUGCCCCUCUCGAUACGAAACCAGGUGCCUGAUAGAUAAAAUUAGGUUUCAAUUCGAGUUCGAAAUAUACUGCAACUGAGGAAGUAAUGAGGAGCUUACAGGUGAAAACAAGACCCCUCUGAAAAUCUUCCCAUUAACAGUUGCAGUCAUUAAAAGGCCUGAGUCGAAGGCUCCGUCAACUUUACCUCGAACUUCAGCACCAACCUAUGGAGAAAGAGAAGAAAGUGAAAAGCAUGUAUUAGCAGAACAGGAAGAAAAACAAAGACAGGAAAAAUUGUAAUCGACAAUGUUUUGCAUUGCAUAUAUCAACUUAAUGAUUUACCAGGUUUUGAAUACACCCUGGCUCCAUGGGUUUAUGUUCCACUGCUGGGAAUGGUGUUCCUUGCCUGCCCAACCCUGCAUGAACAUAUUGCUCUACUCUUUUAUUCUCUCUUGAAAUUUGGAGCCUUUGCCGGGUUUUUUGGAUCACAAGUCUAGGUAGUUUCUGAUUACUUGCAACACUAUCAGCCUGGUAAUUUCUUGGAAUUUUGUUUAACUGCCUAAAGAAAUUAAGUCCUUUGCAAGAUGUGAGGGAAUCAACUGAUUUCUGAACCGGUAUCUGUUCUUGGUCGGACUGAGACGGAGAUGAAUGGUGAGAGGGUGAAAGAGAAUGCUCUUCUUGUUCUAAAUCAAUCUCCCAUGCUUUUGAAUUUGUAGGUCUUAUCUUCUUAUGAUGCAGAGUAUCUGAAAGGAACGUUGUAGGUUUUUGUUAUUAAUACUACCUGAACUGAACUGAAAAGGUUGCUUUGAUUCUUCUGAUUCAUAUGAGCCCUUCAUGUCUAUUUCAUUGUUUCCCAGAAACAUUGACUGCUUCACAGAACAAAAUUAAUAACCCUCCCAACUUGAACAGGCAUAUUUAACAGGAGGUCAAGUGUUUGCAUUUUGAGAGUAAAUAGUUUAGUUACCGAAAUAUCUUCUGCUCCUGGGAGAAAUCUCUUUUCUUGAUUCCAAUGUUGUCCAAAGAUCUUGCACAUGGGAAUGUUGUAUCGACCAUUGGGAUGUUCUGCUCCAAGUUGCAAGACCAACAACUGAUUGAGAGGACGCUCAUCCUCUCUGCACCUGCACAUACAUACACACACACAUACAUACAUAUAGAAUUGAAUUAGGAGAUACAUGAAGAUUAUGGGAGGCAGUGUUGAGAACAGAAGCUGCAGAUGCGAAACAAAAACUUUCAGUUACCCUCCAUAGAUGACAAUAUCUGAGUCGGUGACAACCGCAGUGUGAGAAAACCUCCCUUGAGGUUGCUGGCCAGAUAUAUCAAGUUGAAUCCAUGAACAAGUACUCACAUCAAGCACCCAAACAUCAUUGUAGUAAUGUUUGUCCCCAACACCUCCAAUGACAUAAAGCUGCAGACCAUGGAAAGCACAUUAAAUCUCUUUCCAAAAGCCAACAAUUGAUAAAGGAGCAUCGAAGAAUCAAAGCCUUCAAGCAAAAACAGGUGAGCAUCAAUAGCACAGACAACAGAAUAGGGUAUAACAUUCCGAAGAAAAACUAGUCUAAUUUUCAAAUCUAUUUCAGUGCCAUGACUUGCCUUUGUUCCAAUAUAUAUAUAUAUUAGAGAUUGGUUGGUUAUUUAAAUUAAUUAUUGAUAUCCAUCAUUUUUUUAAUUCAAAGUUUUCUCUAUAGUUUAGGAAGAACGAGAAAUUUUAGAGAUUGAGAAACCCUAUAUUUUAUCCUUUGUUAAAUGUGGCAUCAAGUUAGGAGUAAGCCUUCUAGUUUAAUAGAUCAUAGAUAUAACACAAAUAUCUAUGUUCAUGUUAAAUAUUAAUGAACAAUGUUAUUUGGAUUUCUGUACUCUUAUAAUUGUUCAUUUGUAGAAUUGAUGGAGGUUCUUCAAUAGUUCUUCCAUGGAAUAGUUUAAAGAUCAGAUUUUAAUUACCUUCAGCAGGUAUGGUGCUAUGGAAGUCGACUCCGGUUAAGGAUAGGACUUUAAGAGUAGACAAGGGUCUCAUUUUCCUAAGAAAGCUUGCUGGGAGAGAAGAAUAAUCGAGGAACACUUCUUCCAGGCUAGACGAAUUACACAACCCUGUAGAACAGAUAAAAUAAAUCCAUUAAUAUAUUAUAAAUAUCAUAUUGUUUUAGGCACCAAAACUGUCACUGACCUUUCCCAAAGUGUUUAAAUUUACUACCACUUGCUUGUAAGGUCUUGAGGGAUGGCAACGCUCCCAAUGACUCUAUCAAAAUGCUUUCCUUGAAGUCAAUCAUUUCCAGAUACAAGAUUUCUAAAUUCCUUAAACCUGUGAUAUAGAGAACAAUCAAUAAUAAUUAUUUACAAUAAUUAAAUAAUUUUUAAUGUUAGAGUUAAUAUAUACAAGACAUAGCUUAAGUUAUUAAAUUAAAAUAAUUUUUAAUAUAAUAAUUAAAUAUUCACGAGAAUCAUAUCACCUUUAUUUAUUUUAAAAAAUUAAAAACAAAAUUAAUUAUGUGUAUAUUUAAGUUUCAAUUACUUCAAAAUUACUUCACUUAAAAAAUUACGAUAAAGAAUUAGUUAUAUAAAGCCUUUUUAAAGGUUCAUUUAAGCAAAUUAAUGGUCAAUCACACAUCUAAUUAUUAAACAAGUUAACUAAAGAAUAGAUUAAGCAAAAACAAUAUAUAUAUAUAUAUAUAUAUAUGUUCAACGAAAGUUAUGAUUAAGACACAUCUAAUUAUUAAAUAAGCUUAAUAAAAAAUAAAUUAAGCCUCACUAAAGACAUGCGCAGGUUCCGAGAACAAGUUGACUCUUGUCAAGGUGGUGAGCUCGGUGAAGGCAUUGUAAUACUCAGAGUAUGAAAAUAGAUAUGGAUCAACCUUUAAUGGGUUGCCCCCAUAGGUAAAGGUGGAGAGCUACCUGGACUCUUGAGACUAAGAGUGAGAGACUCACAGAGAAGUAAGGCGUGGUUCCUAGGGUGGAACAGAGGGCAGAUGCAACUCCUGGGUGAGUAGACUCUUGGAAGUAUGGUGAGCUCGUGAUCAUAUUGAGAUACUCAAAUAAUGACUGUCGCACUUGGAAAUGGAAAUUUCCGUUUGAGGGGGUGUUGUAAGCCUUGGUGUGAGGCUUGAUGAAUCAUUCCGGACCGAGCAUGGUUAAUACGCUCGAAGGGGAAUGUUGUGUCCCAGAGACAAGCGUGAACACUCUUCAGAUGUGAAGUGGCAGACCAUCUGGUUGUAGUGAUCCUUUUGUGUGAGAAAAGGUGUACUUUGGUGACUCUGGUGAUUGAAAGGUGUGGCAAGUACCUGUAAACUUGGCCGGAGAUGCUCUCGGAAUGGUAAGCUUGGAAGAGUUGCAAGAUGCAAGCUUGUGCUAAAGAAGUAAGCGGGCAACUGCCCAACAUGAAUGGCAAAGGGGGUGAUUGUUGGGUUGGUUGCCAUUGCAUGUGCAACCUACCCUAUAAAGAAGUAGGGUUACCAUUUGUCAAUGGUGGUUGCACCCACCAUUGACAAAUGUAUCAACCCAUGUGCGGCUGCUGUUAUUGAAGAAGAAGAGCCACCAUCCUUGCCUAUAAAUAGGCACCAAGAAAGAGAGCAAAAUGAGAGAGUUGUGAGAAUGUAAAGAGUGUGAAGAGAGAAAGAAAGAGAAGGGCUGCUGCCUUAUGCAGCUGCUGCCCUAUGCAGCAAUGAGAGAUGGGAGUUGAGUGGAUGUGAUCCUCCUCCAUGUUUGUAUUCUUUCUCUAUCUCUAAAUAAUAUAGACUCUCUCCCGUGGAUGUAGGCGAUCUGCCGAACCACGUUAAAUAUUGUGUCAGUGUGCUUGCUUUUCGUUGAGCAAUUAUCAGUACAUCACCGGUCGGAGUUUCCCCAACAUUCAUGUACGCCUGAAAGGAGCCAUGGAAUUUCAACAAUGCCAUCUCCAAGGAGCCAUGGAACUUUAAAGUGGGAUGUCGUGUACGCCUGAAUUGUAUAGUGACAAUGGUGGAACUGAUGCGGUUGCAUAGCACCAACCAGUACUUUCCUAAUGAUUUCCUUGCGGAAAAAAUUAAGGCAUGUUGGAAAACGAUGCCACCCUAACAAUUAAUCCAAGAGUUCAAAUUCAACUUGAAUAAAAGCACGAUAAAUGGAUAAUUUAGAGGAGAAAGGAUCCAAGAACAUCAUGAAGGGAUGGUUCUAUUUUGUUACGCAACAAUCUCAACAGCUAAUUAAGAGGUUAGAUUGUAGGGUCUAAUUUCAAGUGCAAGACUCUAUUGAUUCUCAUCAUUAUAGUAAUAAAACCAUGACCAUUUUUAUUAAAUUAAGAGGAAACACAAAAUUAAACAAGAAAAUCUUAAGAGUUCAGAAAUAAAUCUAACAUUGUCGAACAGACUGUGAGCAAACCCAGAUUUGGUGGAAGAUAGAAAUAUGAAGAGAGAGCAGAAAUUGAUGGUCUCCUUGUUUUUCAUGGUCUCCUUGUUUUGCAUUUAAGGUUCGGCCAUCUAAGCUUCUCAUUGGGUUUUAAUUUCCUGAGUUAAUUUCAUCAUGGCUGGACUUGAAUAUCUCUAUAUAUACACUUAAGGCUGGGUGAGCUUGUCUCUUUAGCAGGCCUUCUUAGGCUUUUGUUCUUUCAAACAAUGUCAGCUCUAAGCCCAUUAUUUUACAGAAAAGGUAAAAUACACUUGUCAUGGCUGAUUGAAAUCGUGGAAGAAAAAACUAGAGGAAAGAUAACCGAUUGACCCCCAACGAAGACCAAUGCAGAGGAAUUUCAAAGGGGAAAAAAGGUGGCGGCUUUAUGAUGCAGUUCAUCUAAAGAUAAACCUAAUCUGAAUUAAUUGUUCGGUCUCCUUCAAAGCGAAAUAACUUUGCCAGGUUUCCUCCCAGUGACAUUACAUUAUUAAAGUUAAAAGCGCUGAAGCACAAUUCAAAGACAAUAAGUAGUAUUAAACUUAAUAAGCUAGUUCAAUGGAGGAGAAUGGUGUGCUGAAACACUAUGAUUUUCAAAAAAAUUGAAGCAUAUCAGAUCCAUGCUGCUGCAUUCGCAAGAAACGAGCACCCAUCAACAAUGUGCUAAAUGUCAAUGCAGAGCUUUAAAUCAUCUACAGAGGCUCAUGAAGAAAAUAGGCAUAAAUGAUAACAGAUAACACACCAGAGCACUCUACGUAAACUGAUAUCUUUAGAAAAUUCAAAGGCAUGAAUGAAAAAGAAAAGCGAGGAAUAUCUAAGUCAACUCUUAAUUUGUAACAGUCCACAACUUCAUGUUUGGUGUGUACUGUAAACCAUGCUCUCCACAUAAUCACGAGCUUCAUCUGCAAAAAACCAUUUUCACUUCUGGGGACAAGGGAUCAAACAAAUAUAAACCUGUUGUUGGAUUACAUUCAUAAUUUAUAUCAAGCCCUAGCUGCUGCUCGAAGGUAAGAAUUGGCUGGUUGCUCAGCACAACAUAACUGAUACAAACAAUUACUGAUACAAGCAAAGGACAAACACAAGUCACAUCAAAACAGAAAGGCUAAGCAACAAGAACACUUCUCACAGGCAAAUUGCUAAACAUGUAGUUAGCAACCAUUGAUUUGGAAUGCGACUGCUUCUCCACAGAGGAUUACAACAAAUUCAGAAAGCAGCCCACACGCUCCUGAUAAGAUCCAAUCACCUUCUGAAUCUGGACAACUUGGGAAAGUUUAUAGCCAAAAAGCAGCAGCAAGUGUCAAUGCAUUCUUCAAUGAAGUAAAACCAUCUGCGUCGCCAAUGCGGAUAUAUGCACAGUACUGCUGCAAUUGUCAACACCACAGUUAUGUAACACCCACCAAAGCUGGCAUAGAAACUGUCCAUGUCUAUGAAGCCACCAUCUCCAUUGAAAUCGUUAGGCACUCUAGCGGAUGGUGAUUCUGUUUUGUCGCAACUUUUUUGCAAUGGAGGUCCACAAAGAAGAGGAUUCCCUUUAUAACUGCUCUCAUCAAAGGUACAAAUUGAUUUUUCAUCUCCGGUGUUCUUCCUGACAAAUUAUUGUACGACACGUUGAAAACUGCUAAAAGGUCAGUUCAACGAGUUGUGCAGGAAUUCUCCCAUUCAAAUUGUUGUGAGAAAGAUCCAAGCUCUCUAUCUGCUUCAGAUUGAGAAGGAUGAAGGGAUCAAUCCAGUGAGAUUAUUUGUGACAGAUUUAGAGAAUAUAUCCCACUUAAGUUUCCCCAUUCUGUCGGGAUUUCUCCAGUGAAUCUGUUACAAGAAAGAUCCAUAACAGAC